UUAAAUCAAGAAGAUGAGUCAUACUUCGUUCCAAUACAAGUCUUAGAGUCAUACUCCAAGAUUGUCAUUUGAGUGACAUGUCUUAAAGAAGGUUUAAAACACUUGUCAAAUGUAAGAGUAAAAGUUUUCUACUCUUGUACAUUUGAAAUUGGUAAGUUGUGAUGUUUUGGAUAAAACAAAGACCAACUUAGGCCAAUUGGGUAAAGUGUUUUUCUUGAUUAGAAUCCGCACUAUCUCUUGGAUGUUUGACAAGGGAGUCUUAUAUGUCAAGAGGACAGUGGGAGUCUUAAAGGUCUUGAAAGUCUCAAGAAAUAAUCAAGAAUAAAACCUAAAGUUCUUCACUAGCACACGACUUGAGGUUUAUAACCUAUCGUGUUGACAUAUCUGUGCCCAUUCCAGUUAAAGUUGGCUUUGCAUAUGAGUUCUUAGAGUUCUCAGUUUGUUGCAUAACAACUUGGAAGCAAUGGCAGGCCCUUGAGCUGCCAGGUGGCAAGAAGUUAAGAUUGAGUUCAAUCCAUAUGGUUUUGGAUUUGUCAUUAUCUUUGUCUUGUGAUUAUGGUUUGACAAAUUCAUAUGGGUAGGAACUCAUACACCAUAUAAAUCUAAGUGUCAUAAGGUUUCUCUCCGAUUCAUGAAAAUGAUGGUGAGGAAACGCUUUCACUAAGUAGAUUUUACGAAGAUAUCAAUUGUGUUAUUUGCAUUUUCAAAAGUCGUUAGUGGAGCGCGUGUGGUUAACCGGCACACUAACAUGGACUUGUGAGAAAUGGCAAAUGCCUAAGCAAUUGAGACCAUGAUUACGGUAUCCCUUUUCAUGGUUCUUGAAAUUGCUUAGACACACAGGUGAGCUAUCUACGGAAAGGGUGUAUGAAUCUAAAUUUCAGACUGUCCAGCUGAUUUCUGAGUACAUGUCAAAGCUAGUGGGAGCAUAAGUGUUAUGCUAAUAAUCAUCAUGUUAGUGGGAGCAUGAUAAUUAUGAUAAGUAUUGCAAGUUAGCAAUGUUAAUUAUAGAAAACAAAAGUUUCAAUUGGGAAAAAGUUGUUUUGCUAUAAUUAAGGGAGAGGAAAUUAUGCUUCAUCUCAAAUCUAUAAGCUUAGAUCGUGAGGUUUUAAUCAUUUAGUCAAGGAUAUAUAUGAAUUUCAUGUUGGAAUGGCUCAACAUAAGGAAAUUCUGUAUAUGGGUCCAUUAUUUGCGUUCUAAAAUUCGAUUAUGAUUACGGCAUCCCUUUUCAUAAUCUGAAUUAUGAGAACUUGGCAAAUAGAAAUGGAAAUGUUAUAGCAAAAGACUGGUUUAGUCUUUAUGUGAGACAUCAUGAAUCGUGUCCCAUAUGCUUCGGAGAUAGGAUCGAUUACAUGUGCUAUAUUCAUCCUUUCUGAAAUUUUCCAAAUGCCUGGGGCAUUAAGAAGGGAAAAGGUCUAGAAUUGGAUAUGACUAAAAGGAUUAAACAAUUGUCGAGGACAAUCUAUUGUUUACCAAAGAUUGGUUGCUCAAGGACUAUUGGAAGUAUAGUGAUAAUUCAAGAAGGACCAUAUUGACAUAGUCUGCAAGGAGGCAACUCUUGUUCAGAAGUGAUAGUCAAAAUGGAAUCUGGAAAUGUUUCAAAGUUAGAAAUUAUUCAAUCUGUGUAAGAUUAAGAAACUUAAUGCAAGAAGGAUGUUUCCAAGGAGCUAAUCUCCUUCGGAAUGCUUUGUAAUGAUUGUUGUCAAGUCUUUCUGACUUUGUGCAUAAUCAUUAUAAGAGGAUCAAUGCAUAUAUGUUUAAAUCUAAUAGAUUUCAGUAAAUGGCAUGAAUUUGGAAUUCUUGCAUUUGCAGUAAGGAUUUGGGACUGUGAAAUGAGAGUCAUUGGAGUUAUGUUCAAUUGAUCUAUUUCACAAAGUAAAUAUCAUAGACAAACAUAGUAUGCAUACUUGGUGUGUGGAAUGACUAGUGUUUAGAAAAGCAUAGUGUACAUGCUUGGACCAUGGGACAACUAUUCUUUUAAUUCAAGAAUAAAGUUGAUAGCUGAAACAGUAUACAAUGAAUAAUGUGUAAUCAUAUGGUGAUAAAUAAAAGGUGUUUUAUUUAUGUUCAUAAGUUCUGAGACCAUAUUAGAUUCCGUUAUUAUUGUGUUUCAUUUUGCAUGUUUUGACUUCCAGAAUAAACUAGGUCAUUGUUCUGGAUGACUAAGUUAUUCAAACCAUCCACAGUCGGUCAUAUGUUGGAAGUAGAUAUGAAUUAAGACUGUCGUGGGGUGGCUUGUAGAGGUCUAACGUAACGACCCAAAAUUCAAGACUAAAAAUUUCUUUUAAGAAAACAUUACUUAAAGCAAAAUCGUCAAUCCAAAACAUAAUUUGAGUAUUAAUUCCCAAAACACAUGUUUAUUAUAAGAGUAAAACAUUCCCAGGAUGUCUAGUCUAUGGUGUGUGCCAUGCGAUCACCCCGAGCUCUCCCCUCCGCUACCGGAAGUACCUGAAACCAAAACUAAAAACCGUAAGCACGAAGCUUAGUGAGUUCCCCAGAUACAACAUACCAUACAAACCAUUCAUAGCCAAGAACCAUACAUAACCGACUUAUCCAUAAUCAAGUAAGGUGCUAUGUGCCAAACAUAGUCUUGCUAUUAUGCCACGGGCUGCGCGUGGUCUUCCUGGUCAAGCCUGGGCCACUCCCUGGGUCUUACAGACAAGUUCCAAGGGCCACCCCCUGGUCUUACAGACAUGUGCCAAGGGCCACCCCCUGGUCUUACAGACAUGCGCCAAGGGCCACCCCCUGGUCUUUUAUGCAAGCAUCACAAGGACAACCAUACAUACUACUCUACUUAGCUAAACAACAUACAAUGUGCCAGAAGCCACCUCCGGGUCUUUCAAAUAUAAUAGCAUACAAUGCGCCAGGAGCCACCUCCUGGUCUUUUAUAUAUAAUAGCAUACAAUGCGCCAGGAGCCACCUCAUGGUCUUUCAUACAUAUUGCCUAGGGCUAAACCCCGAGUCUUCCUAUCAUCCAUAAUAACAUACUGUGUCCCAAGAGUCGCCCCCUGGUCUUUCAUGCAUAUUGCCUAGGGCUAACCCCCGGGUCUUCCUACCAUACAUAAUAACAUACUGUGUGCUAGGAGCCGCCCCCUGGUCUUUCUUGCAUACUCUAAAUGGGCCGGCAUUGGUGCCGUAUACCCAUGCAAAUAGUGAGGAGACUCACCUUGCACUGCUGAACUCUGCUGAUAAUCCUCUGGCUCCUGACCGACAACUCUCUGAACUCCUGCUCCACUAGCUCCUCGAGCUACCAAUAUCAAUGCAACACUUAGUCUAACCAUCCCCAAAAAUUCAACUAAAUCAACUCUAGUCAAUGACAAGGUCCUAGUCAAGGCCAACCUUCCUAGUCAACCCUACUCGCCGAGUCUGCCUACUGACUCGCCAAGUUCAUAUGCUUAGAGUCCUUCCAUUCGCGACUCGACUCGCCGAGUCUACCGAUUUCCAAGUCUCGACCUGUCCAACUCACCGAGUCUCCACUCGACUCACUGAUUCGAUUCUCAACUUGAAGGGUUUGGGGUUUCACGACUUGACUCGCCAAGUCCAAGAACAGACUCGCCGAGUCCAAGGCAGUCUUCAUCCGACUCGCCGAGUUGUUCUUCCCACUCGUGGAGUUCCUCCAAAUAUUCAUGCUACUUGCCAAGUCCACUCAAAGGACUCGCCGAUUCCAUUCAGAUCUUCAUACAUGCAGAGGACUUUUGAGCCAUGCAUGGACUCCAAACUGUAGAUUUACCCUUCCCAAGCCUAUUCCUCAUGUAAAGUUGCAAACUUUACGUGUAGAGAAGGAGAUCUAGGCAAAAUACACCAUAAAAUAGGGUUUAAGACAAAGAGGCUCCAUAAUCAACUCAAGGACAGAUAAUUUAUGCUUCUCAAGACCAUAAUAUGCUUAGAUCCGAAGUAGCAACUUCAGAUCUGGCUUCUAACUCAAAUGGAUAGCUAAUCAUGGCUAAAAAGCCCCCAAACCAUAACAGAUCUAAAGGAGGGAAACGACUUAAUACCUUCAAUAACUCAGAAAGUUUCCCUAAUCUUCAGAUCUAAGGCCAAACCUUGAAGCUUCAAUGAUUCCCCUUUUUCUUCUUCCUUCAAAUCACCCAAAAAUGGCUUGGAAGCUUGAAUGGGUAACAAUGGGGCUUAGGGUUCGAUGUUCUGGGUGAAAGAGGCAGUAAAGGAACCCUAGGGAAGAGAAUGAGGCAUUUAAAUAGGCUCCAAGUCCCAAAUUUAGGGUUUUCCUCCCACAGACCAGACUCGCCGAGUCUCCUUGGCCGACUCGCCGAGUCGGUCACUUACUCCUCAACCCGGAUCCCACUCGGACUCGCCGAGUUCCUCCUUGGACUCACCGAGUCGUCUCUUAAAAUUUGGGUUAUCUUUCCUUUCUUGGCCUUCCAGACUUUGGGUGUUACAACUCUCCCCCACUUAAACUAUACUUCAUCCUCGAAGUUUUCCAUGGACAACCGCCUGCGAUCUGCUUCCAAUACUCUACUAAUUGAUCCAACACCAGCUGCCUACCUUUGCUGGUCUUCCGCCCGGUCAUUCCGACUAAUAUUAAUCCUUGUAGAUAAUAAUCUUGGGUCAACCCUGACCCUGAACAUUCUGGAAACACCACUUACUCAACCGACAAUCCUUCUGGUACUCACCGAGUACUGCACUGAACCCAUAGGGGUUCACCCCUUCCUUCCUUGCGUGAUUUCCUUGCCUUCCCAAGGCGAUGUUCCAUAUCCAACUAUUUCCUCUGUCAUUGUGAAGAUCCUAUCUUCACCAAAUCCAUUACUCCCGCUACUUCCAGUACGGGUCAUUAUCGCCAGUAUCCACUGGGCAUUCUUUCUACUAUAAUUGGUGUCGAGCACCCCACGACCAACUAUAUGAAUUUCACCAUAGACUGCUUACCAGCACUGCUACUGGCUGGAAAUUUCUGCUAUUCCUUAUCUGCCUUCCGGAUGAACUGAGACCACCCUGGUCCCUACCAAUCUACCAAUAUCUGGAUUACCUGCUCCCACCGGUCGCUAGUCCCAAUUCGCCUCCUAGUCGCUCCCAGCGACUUUCGAAGAAACUUCGACCAUGAAUAACCGCUCAAUCCACUCUGCCACUAAAUCAUACACCUGAUACAUUCGCUCUAAAGAAUAGGGACCGACGAAUGCUAUGGGCCACCCCGUAGUCUUACAACACUUCUACGCUGCCAGCCAACCAAAGCUACGGGCCGCCCCGCAGUCUUGCUAAACCAAUGCUACGGGCCACACCGUAGCCUAACCAUACUCACAUACGAUUGCUGCGGGUCACACCGCAGUCUUGCUAAUCUAAUGCUACGGGCCACACUGUGGUCUUACUAAUCUAAUCCUACAGGCCACACCGCAGUCUUACUAAUCUAAUGCUACAGGCCACACCACAGUCUUACUAAUCUAAUGCUACGACUAACCCAUAGUCGAUCAUACAGCACAAUCGAGUACCCCUAAGUGGUACUCAUGUCCCAAAUGGAACUCUCAACCGAUUCCUAUGUAAUCCACGACCAGACAUUUCGAGAAUGAGGCCUCACAAUUGACAAGUUUUCCCAACUUCCAAUUUACACGAUCCUCCAUUCAUACAGUCACCUGAGCCGUCUUUCUUCCUAACAGGAGAGCGAAACUUAUCCUAGUUUCAAAACCCCUUCUAUUCCCAUAACCUGAUUGUUUCUCCCCCACUUAGCCUCAGCUAAGCCUUUACUGCAUGCGAAAACUCGAAGAUUUCUAUUCCUUCAUUCCUUACACGAUAGACAUGAUAACCACCAUCGCCCUAUCCCUGCUAGCGAUCCGUCUCUAGCCUACUCCAAAUAUCGUAUGAUUACCGAAUACUAGAUGAACACCUCCCGCAUCCUUGAUGCUAAAAAAUCCCCCGAGCUCCAACUAUUGUCCUUAUAGUCUGAAUAAUUGGGCACAGACUCCUUGGUGAUAAGCUACUUUCCUUGAUGCUUCCGAAAGCCAUCCCGAACGCCCAGAUUAGAACCAUCAAACCCUGAUGAUGGUAAUUGACCACUCCUCGAACCAUUUUCAACCGAAACCGAGAUGAUACUGGACACUUCGAACCCGAAGUGAAAGAUGACCUACACUAGCUACUAAUAGCUCCUGGUAUGCAAUUGGCAUAUGAAAAUUCCAAAAUACAAUCCGAAUACAUGCAGAGAGACAAAUCAUACAUAAAAUCGCCUGAGUCUGGGGUAAAAACUUCCCUAAUACACAUAGAAAUGAAAAUAGCCACAGAUACGUACCUGCAAUAUUCCCUGCUGUAACCCAGAUCUUCCGCAUCUGUCACUGCAAGGCCCUAACCUCUCGCCCAUCCGUAAUCCUCAUAGUCGUUGGGGCAGGCGCACUCCCUGCUCCUCCCCUCAUCGUCAGGCAGUANCCUCAUCAUCGGGCAGUCGGUCCUCUUGUGGCCCACCUGAUUGCAGUGAAAACAUAAUGGGCUUGCCCCCCGUGGGCAGUCCCUGCUGACGUGACCGACACUGCCACACUUGUAGUAGCCGGAACCCCUGGAACGACACACUCCCUCGUGCGGUUUCCCGCACGUUCUGCACUGACUUCGUUCCUGCCGACCCACUAAUCGCUGAUAUGAAGUCUUGAGUCUCUUCCCGGGACCCUCCAAAGUGUACGUCUGAUCUGACCUCCUCUUCGCAAUGUGCUCUAGCUCGAUCUCCCUCUCCCUAGCUUUCUCAAUCAUAGAGCCCAGGGUCGGGCAUGCCGAGAAGCUGACGUGCUCCCGAAUCUCCGCUCUCAACAUGUCGUGAUAGCGGGUCCUCUGCAUCUCAUCAUCCCCUGCAUACUGAGGAACUAAUAGGGCCUUCUCCCGAAACUUGGCGGUAAUCUCCGCCACCGACUCUGUCAUCUGUCUCAUGUCUAGGAAUUCUCUGGCCAGCUGUUGAAGCUCCACUGUCGGCGCAAACUCCGCCCUAAACCUGGUCACGAAGUCUGACCAGGUCAUAGCCUCGACGACCGAGGCUCCCAAUGAGUCUACAACUAACUCCCACCAAUCUGUAGCUCUGUCUCUCANCCGGGCAGAAGCUCGUCAACUGUGCAGACUCAAUGUCUGCGAUCCAUCUCCUGGCAGCAAUGGGGUUCUUCACCCCGUGAAAAUCCGGCGCACCACACCCUCUAAAGUCCUUGAAGGACAGGGUGCGCAUACUUGCCUGGCCAGACGCCAAAUCACUCCUGAAAGCUCGAAGGCGAUUCUCCAUCAACUUAAUGAUCCCUCCUUGAUCGACCCAAAAAUGACCGGGGUCGCCUCAAGGAUGCCUCUCGUAAUCUCAGAUGCGAUGAACUCGCGCAACCCAUCAUCAACUGGUUCGGAUCCCGCGUCGGAACCUGAUCCUGAACCGGAUCCUGACCCGCCCACCGGUCUCUCUCGCAACGUAACCAUGCUGAAAAUAUAACGCAACUACUAUCAGAAUACUGAUCACUGCUGCGAGACCAAACACACGCACUACCAGGUUCCCGGUCUUGUCUCGGCCUUUCAGUAGUACGGGCCCAUACUACCUUCCACAUCUAUUCGUACUUUCCUCAGGAACUGCUUCGACUCCACUAGGUCCCUUUUCUACUACUAUUGCUCCUAGCACUACCUCAUCCUAGGCUUACCCUAGGGAAACCUCUGACCCAACUCAAUCAGUCCUCAGCUGCUGAAGGUCUCCUUGUGAUGCCAAUUAGCCAUUACCUGGAUACCAUCACAUGUGACGCAGCUCAGAUAAUCCAUCGAGUAAAAGACUCGUCCCUACCACGGUUAGACUCAAACGAGAGCUGCGCAAUAGGGCCAAAUCCAGCACUCUAAGAUUAUUCAACCCUGGUCACAUGUGACAUGACGUAUUCACCUAAUGGCUAACUCCCAUCACUUAGAAUCCCACAAUGCACAAAGCAAGCAGCAUUCAGACAAGGGAAAAUCUAACCAUAACAUACUCAAGCAAUCAUAAUAUCAUAUCAAGAAUCUGAACUAGCAUGCAACACAAGCUCAUAAACUCAGGCAUACCCUAAACAGCCUAUCCUACUACUGUCUAGCCACCACUAUCAUGCAGCUCAAAAGCACAUAUAACAGGCACAUAAGGCAUCCUCCCUAGAUUCUUAGUCCUAAUCUAACAUGCUGUUCUACUAUUUGAUAAUCAUAACAUAAACUUGUAUGGGUAUUUUGGGGUACUUACUUGAGCUUGGUUGAUUGCAUGCACCACACCCCUUUUCUCUUUUCAAAGUUCUUUUCUUUUUGAAUUCUUUUUGCUUUUCUAAAACUGUUUUUCGUUCUCAAAAUUCUUUUUACCAAACUUUCUUUUCAUUUUUGAAAACUUUUUAUUCGACCCCUUAGUUUGAGUUCAGGCACACCCGAGAGUAUGCCCGAAUCCCUCAAACCAAGGCUCUGAUACCAACUUGUAACGACCCAAAAUUCAAGACUAAAAAUUUCUUUUAAGAAAACAUUACUUAAAGAAAAAUCGUCAAUCCAAAACAUAAUUAGAGUAUUAAUUCCCAAAACACAUGUUCAUUAUCACAGUAAAACAUUCUCAGGCUGUCUAGUCUAUGGUGUGUGUCAUGCGAUCACCCCGAACUCUCCCCUCCGCUACCGGAAGUACCUGAAACCAAAACUGAAAACCGUAAGCAUGAAGCUUAGUGAGUUCCCCAGACACCACAUACCAUACAAACCAUUCAUAGCCAAGAACGAUACAUAACCAACUUAUCCAUAAUCAAGUAAGGUGCUAUGUGCCAAACAUAGUCUUUCCAUUAUGCCACGGGCCGCGCGUGGUCUUCCUGGUCAAGCCUGGGCCACUCCCUGGGUCUUACAGACAAGUGCCAAGGGCCACCCCCUGGUCUUACAGAUAUGUGCCAAGGGCCACCCCCUGGUCUUACAGACAUGUGCCAAGGGCCACCCCUGGUCUUUUAUGCUAGCAUCACAAGGACAACCGUACAUACUACUCUACUUAGCUAAACAACAUAUAGUGUGCCAGAAGCCACCUCCUGGUCUUUCAAAUAUAAUAGCAUACAAUGCGCCAGGAGCCACCUCCUGGUCUUUCAUAUAUAAUAGCAUACAAUGUGCCAGGAGCCACCUCCUGAUCUUUCAUACAUAUUGCCUAGGGCUAACCCCCGGGUCUUCCUACCAUACAUAAUAACAUACUGUGUGCCAGGAGCCGCCCCUUGGUCAUUCAUGCAUACUCUAAAUGGGCCGGCAUUGGUGCCUUAGACGCAUGCAAAUAGUAAGGAGACUCACCUUGCACUGCUGAACUCUGCUGAUAAUCCUCUGACUGUUGACCGACAACUCUCUGAACUCCUGCUCCACUAGCUCCCCGAGCUACCAAUAUCAAUGCAACACUUAGUCUAACCAUCCCCCGGAAGUCAACUAAAUCAACUUUAGUCAAUGACAAGGUCCUGGUCAAGGCCAACUUUCCUGGUCAACCCUACUCGCCGAGUCUGCCCACUGACUCGCCGAGUUCAUAUGCUUAGAGUCCUUCCAUUCGCGACUCGACUCGCCGAGUCAGUCCAUGACUCGCCGAGUCUACCGAUUUCCGAGUCCUGACCUGUCCAACUCACUGAGUCUCCACUCAACUCACUGAUUCGAUUCUCAACUCGAAGGGUUUGGGGUUUCGCGAUUUGACUCGCCGAGUCCAAGGCAGUCUUCAUCCGACUCGCCGAGUUCCUCCAAAUCUUCAUGCUACUCGUCGAGUCCACUCAAAGUACUCGUCGAGUCCAUUCGUAUCUUCAUACAUGCAGAGGACUUUUGAUUCAUGCAUUGACUCUAAACUGUAGAUCUACCCUUCCCAAGCCUAUUCCUCACGUAAAGUUGCAAACUUUACGUGUAGAGAAGGAGAUCUAGGCAAAAUACACCAUAAACUAGGGUUUAAGGCAAAGAGCUUCCAUAAUCAACUCAAGAACAGAUACUUUAUGCUUCUCAAGACCAUAAUAUGCUUAGAUCCGAAGUAAUAACUUCAGAUCUGGCUUCUAACUCAAAUGGAUAGCUAAUCAUGGCUAAAAAGCCCCCAAAACUCACAACCAUAACAAAUCUAAAGGAGGGAAACGAUUUAAUACCUUCAAUAACUCAAAAAGUUUCCCCAAUCUUCAGAUCUAAGGCCAAACCUUGAAGCUUCAAUGAUUCCCCCUUUUCUUCUUCCUUCAAAUCACCCAAAAAUGGCUUGGAAGCUUGAAUGGGCAACAAUGGGGCUUAGGGUUCGAUGUUCUGGGUGAAAAAGGCAGUAAAGGAACCCUAGGGAAGAGAAUGAGGCGUUUAAAUAGGCUCCAAGUCCCGAAUUUAGGGUUUUCCUCGCACAGACCAGACUCACCGAGUCUCCUUGGCCGACUCACCGAGUCGGUCACUUACUCCUUNCCCGGAUCCCGCUCGGACUCGCCGAGUUCCUCCUUGGACUCGCCGAGUCGUCCCUGCAAGUUUGGGUUAUCUUUCCUUUCUUGGCCUUCCAGACUUUGUGUGUUACAUCUAAGAUGUUAGACAAAGGGCUACAACACUCAUGAGUGCUCAUAACUUCUAAGUAUUGGAUUCAACCCACGCUCAUUGGAAUCACUUUAUGGAAUUUAUCACGAGUGAUCAUGAGAUGAUAAUAUCUUAUAUUCUUCAAAGCUAGAGAUAUGAGUUGUUACUAUGAGUUGGUUGUACAUUGAUUGCACGAAAACGCAUUCGGUAACUCGGUGUUAUAAAACGUGCCUUUGUGUAUGAUUCAACAAGUAGUAGAACAAGCCAUAUGAGUCGAAGUUUAUCCGUUCCUUUUACCUUCGGGAUAAAAGCGAUAUCUGUGGGCCCCUCGAUGAUUUGAUGAUGACAAAUGGAAGUGCUCGGCCGGGCCAGGACUGAUUUGAUUUGUUCAAUUAGUCAGUCGUCAUAAAUCGGAAAUCGGGAAACAACAAAUGGACAGAGAGAAUGAUUAUAAUCCAUGUCUCAGUCCAUAUGAUAUCUAGAAUGGAGGAAUAUAUGAUCCCUUAUCUAAUGGACAAGUCAUUGACAAAGGUCAGAGUUCAUCUACAAGGUCAGAGUUCGACAGAAGCUUUUGAGAGCUACGAUUGCCAGUUGGUUCCUGAAGUCAUACGCAAUAAUAGUUUUAGACUUAUCCAAGUGGGAGACUGUUGGAUUAAUGUCUAAGUCCAUAACUAUAAUUGGUAAGACUUGACCCGACCCGGCAUGGUCCAUUUGGGUUGCAUGGCAUCAUGCACUUGGAUAGACUAAAUGAGAGAAAUAAGACACUUAUGGUUAUUAAUAUAUUAUAAGUUCUAGUAUAUUAAUAAUAAGAAUAAUAAUAUUUAAUUAGUAUUGAUCAAGAAUUAAUUUAGAAUUAAUUAUGUGAUCAAAAGAAGACUAAUUAAAUAUAUGGGUUAAUUGUGCAAAUCAUCCAUAACUUAUAUAGUGGGCCAAAGCUCCAUGGAUAAUCAAGUUGGGUUAAACCCAUAGGAUGCUCCAUGGAUGCUCCAUGGAGGUUACAUAACCCAUGGGUCAUGGAAAGAAAGGUCAUGACAAUUAGGGUUUACAUGGUGUAAUCCUAAUUGUAACACACUAUAUAAGCAUCAUAUUAUUCACCAAAACCGGCCACUAGUGUGUGUAAAAGAAGGGCUAGCCGAUUUCAUGUGUUGUGGAUUUCUCUCAAGUCAUUCCAAGUGUAUUUGGUGUUGUGUGAACAAUUUGAGGUGUCACACUUGAGGCACUAGGCACUCAAGUUUCAUGAUGACAUUCUACAUCAAAGAGGUAUGUAUUCUAUCUUGUUAUAUUCAUUGUUUUGUAUGCUAGAUUAGGAUAAUACCUUGGAUGUUUAUAAUUGCAUGUAUAAUAGAGAAAACAAAGAUCCAAGGUAUUUAGGGUUGCAUGUACACUUAGGAGUGUUAGAAUGCUCAAAACCCAACACUUGAUGGCAUCACCUCCUUAGAAGGCUUAACAAUACCAACUUCUUAUGUCCUCUUCGUAUCACUGUCAGGCUUGUUCGUAGGAGACUUGGAUAUAGACUUUUUCAUAAUUUUAACUGGUACCUCUGCUUCAUCAUCCUUCGACUUCUUGGAUUGUUUAGAAGUUCCAGCUUCAACUGUAAGCAAAACCCCUGUUUCCACAUCUGGAUUAAUUGUGUGCUAAUACUUCACAAGAACCUUGUGAGUAGGAUUCACCUUCUUUAGCAUAGCAUCUGGAAUUCAUGCUACACUUGGAAAAAUAGUUUCAUCAUCCUCUACAACUUUCGGAAUCGGAUACUUUGCAAAGUCAACAGUAGGUGCAUCAGUAGGGACUUAGAUUCCCUCUUUUGCAUAUACUUUCUCAAGAACAAGCCUCCAGUACCUUGUACACGAAAUCCCCUUUACCAUAUUUGUGUUCUGCAAACUUUUGCCAACCUCCUUCCACAACUGAGCGGCAUAGUCAACACUCAUGUCAUAGUAAAGACCCAUUACCAUUGCAUAAACUUCCAACCUGGCCUUGUCAAGUCCUACACUUCUUCCCGUUAGGAAUCUUAGGUAAAUUCCAAAGAAAAACUUCCACAUACAUAGAAGUCCUAAUUUCUUGAAAUCACUAAUCUUCUCGAGUGGGGGCCGGUAACACAUUUCAAUGAACAUGUGCAUGAUUUGUGGAUUCGUAGGCUUGAAGAAUGGCGAAGAGUUAGGAAUAUCCAGAAACUAAGUGAACAUCUUCUUUGUCAAUCGAAUUUUUUUUCAUUAAACAGAUCGUUUCAGGGAAACGAUUAGCAUUUUUAAUUCCUACGCAUACAAUGAAACAUUGGCCUCAACUUGGUAGUUUGUGCUUUGAAUUUUCAUCAACGGUUGAGAUUCAAAUUCAUUAGUGUUGGAGUUCUGAACAGCAGCCAUUUGUGAGUUCUUGAAAGCUUUUUGAAAAAUUAGGGCUUUUUGUUCGUCUGUGAAUUUUUUGAUCGCAUAAUGAUAAAAGGAAAAGGAUUUUCCUUUUAUAGGUAAGCCAAAAAUAAUUUGAACCAUUUAUCAUUAAUGAGUAGGCCACGUCAUUCCUUGAAACUCGCACCAGUAGUCGUCUAUCCCAUCACGUCUGAUAAAGUACCUUGAAACUAGGGCCAAGUUGCCAAAUGGUAACUUUAGACUGUUCGUGAGUAUAAAGUGGAUAAGAUCAAACCUUUCGGAUUGGAGGCUGGGCACUUUCGUUUUUGGGAUUUGAAACGAAGUCAUUUUAUAGGCUUGUGAAAUCUUCAGCCUAAGUUGGUAUUACUUAGAACCUCAAGGAUUUCGUGAGUGAUGUGUGCCAAGAAAAAAGAUAAGAAGCAAAUUAACAAAAAUUUGGGUUUUGUGAUGUCUAAAAUUUAGACACGAAGUCAGUUAAAACCCAGGCAAAGGUUGCUUUGUUAAUUAUCAAGAGAGAUAAUCAAUAGCUUGUGUAUGUUCCCGUGAAUUACAAUUGAAUACUUAUAGAGAAGUAUCAAAUGGCGUCUUUUUCAAGGCUUUAAAGGGUGGCUUAUGAAUUUCGAUACAUAUCGACCUAAACAUAAGGUGAGUAAUUGUAACUGAAAUUACUUGUUUGACCAUUAUAAUCAGUGACAAGCUGCUUUGGAAAAGUAUGUAAAAGUGACUAAGGAAAAGAAUUAAUACGCACAUGGAAAUCACAUACAAAAAAAAAUAUUUAAGCUGGAUCUUGUUGGGAAACAAAUGUCAUGGGCUUCGAACAUUUGAUCAAGACCUCUCAUACAAAAGAAUGUGAUUUGGAGUAUACGGAAUUUUUGGUACUGAAACAAGUGUUUCGUAAGAAUCUGGAACAAUGUUCCCCUUCAAUUCCAUAUUAAGCUAGAAAAUUGGGUUUCACUUUCAUCACGGCCUCAUAAUGCAGAUCAUUAACACAGAAUUUUGAUAUAUCUAAAUCUUGAUGAGUUGAAUCAAAGAUAUCUUGGAUAUAUGUCUUCGUGUGUGCAAGUGUAAGAAAUUUGGUGAUGAAAAAGAUUGGUUUUGAGUAAAAAAUUGUACCUAUGUUAUUUUUAGACAAAACAGAUAACUCUUAACUCAUGUGAGAAGACUAAGGUAGCUCAGUGACUAAUGUGAAUGUAAGCCUGAUUAAGAAGAAACUUUCGUAUGAAAAUUUUCAUUAAGGCUUUCGUAAACAUACAUUGAAUCUUUGGAGGCUUGAGUUGACAUGCUGCAGCAUGCUUCGAGGGACAUCUUAACUAGUGCAUAGUUUGAAGAAAAAUACCUUCCCUAAGAAACAUAAACAUGACCCUUGAAAAAUUCUUCGUGUAAACAUCCGUGAUACCUAAAAAAAAUAACAAAGUAACAAAAAUCUUUUUGGAUUUUAUAUUUUAAAAAAAAUAUAUAUUUUUGUGAUUUUGAAUUUUUCGAAAAAUGAAACAUGCAACAAAAGAAAAUCUUUUUGGAAUUUUUUAUUUUUCAAAAAUGAUUACAAAGUAAUGAAAAUAUUUUUGGUUUUUCAGUUUUUCUCAAAAUAAAAGACAAACUAUUGAAAUUAAAAGAUGAUACCAAACACACGAAAAUAUUCAGCUCCAAUAUACGAAAAUGAAGUGUGUCGAAGCGCUGAAUGUGAACAAUAACCCCUGAACGGUUAAUACGAUCAGGCUUUGAAUGAAUCAUUUUGCCUCUGAAUAAACACCUUUUCACCAAUAGACGCUUCGUUAAUUUUGUAUGACUGAUUCUGGUACAGAAUUUGCAUCUAACAUUCCCAAACUUGCCAAAAUUCUCAUAAAAGAUUUUUCUUCAAGAGGUUUUGUGAAAAUAUCAGCAAGUUGAUCAGUUGUUUUUUACAAAAUGAACUUCAAUAUUCCCAUCUUCAACGUGAUCUUUUAUGAAGUGAUAACGAAGAGCAAUAUGUUUUGUUUUUGAAUGUUGUACUGGAUUAUGACAAAUGCAUAUAACACUUUGUGAAUCACAAUACAAUGGAAUCUUUUUCAUAUUAAUUGCAUAAUCAUGAAAUUGGAUUUGAAUCCAGAUGAUUUGAGAAGUACAAGCACUAGUAGAAAUGUAUUCAGCUUCAGCAGUGGAAAUUGCAACAUAAGUUUGCUUUUUCGAUUGCCAACUGACAAGCUUCCCAUCCAGCAAUUGACAUCCUCCACUUGUACUUUUUUUUUUAUCAAGAGUACAUCUACCAAGAUCUGAAUCCAAAAAGGCUUGAAUGAAAAAUCCAGAUUUCGAAGGAUACCAUAAUCCUAACGAAAUUGUUCCUUUGAGAUAACGAAAGAUAUUUUUCAUAGCUGUUAAAUGUGGUUCUCUUGGUUUUGCUUGAUACAUAUCACAAUUACAUAUAGAAAACAUGAUAUCAGGUCUACUUGCAGUUAAAUAAAGUAGAGAACCAAUCAUGCUUCUGAACAAAGUAAGAUCAACAACAGGUGUAUCUAACGAAGGUGUUAAUUUUGUUCCAACUGCCAUUGGCACUCUUAGCUUCGUGUUAUUCUUCAUUCCAAACUUCUCAAGCAAGUUCUUCGUGUAUUUUUCUUGGUUAAUAAAAAUUCCUUCUCUUCUUUUACGAAUGUUUAAUCCAAGAAAAUUAUUGAUUUUACCCAUCAUGCUCAUUUCGAUUUGACUCUUCAUCAAAUUCUCAAAUUCACUAGACAAAGCUGGGUCAGUAGAGCCAAAAAUAAUAUCAUCAACAUAAAUUUGAACAAGCAUAAAAUGAUUCCCAACUUUCUUGCAAAACAAUGUGGGGUCAACUGAUCCUUGUUUAAAUUUCGACUAUUUUAAGAAAUUGGUAAGUGUUGCAUACCAUGCGCUUGGUGCUUGUUUUAACCCAUAAACAACCUUAUCUAGGAUGUAUACAUGAUUAGGAAAUUCUUUGUUAAUGAAACCUGGUGGUUGUUCAACAUACACAGUUUCUUCAAGCUCUCCAUUCAAGAAUACACAUUUGACAUCCAUUUGAUAAACAUCAAAGUCCUUAUGAGCUGCAUAGGCUAAAAAUAUUCGAACAACCUCGAGUCUUGCGACAGGAGCAAAGGUUUCUUCAUAGUCGAUACCUUCUUGUUACGAAUAACCUUUAACUACAAGCCUAACUUUAUUUCGAAUGAUAUUGCCUUCUUUGUUCGGUUUUGUUUGUGAAAAUUCAUUUUAACCUAACAAUUGAAACAUCAUUUGGUUUUGGAAUCAAUCUCCAAACCUUAUUCGUUCGAAUUCAGCAAGUUCAGAUUGCAUUGCAACAACCCAAUCUGAGUGUUCCAUAACAAUCUUAACUGUUUUUGGCUCAAUUUUCAAAAUAAAAACAUUAAACAUGCAUAAUUCUUGAUUCGUAUUGAGUACCUCAUUUUUCGCAUGAAAUUGAGCUCUUGUUAAAACUCCAUCUUGUGGAUUUCCUAUAAGUUGCUCUUUUGGAUGAUUUUUCGUCCAUUUCUGAAGUGGUGGAUAUGCAGGAUCAAAUUCCAAUGGUGCAUCUUCAUACAUAUCUUCAUUUUCAGAUCCUGCAACAAAAAUAUUAUCAUUAAAUUAAUGAAAUUCAUCAUUUUGAUCAAGAUUUAUUCUUUCUAUUUCAUUAUGCUCCCCCUCAACAUAAUUGUCAUUUUGAUGCUCCCCCUCGAAAUUAUCCUUCAUACUAUUCUUCUCCCCCUCGAAAGGAUGCUCCCCCUUAAUACUUGAAGGAUUACUCGUAUGCUCCCCUUCCAUAUGAGCAUUUAGCAUACUUUCGCCAUUUGUAAUAGUAUCUGAAGUGAUUGUUGAAUCAUCUGUAUGUUUCGAGGAUUCGGGUGUUUGAUUUUCAGCAAUAUUAACUUCAGCAUCAACAGUCCUGUCUGGGACACCAAAAAUUAAAUCAUAAUCAAAAUCGAUUGAAUUAAUAUCUUCAGUUUGAUUAUUUGAUUCAUUAAGAAUAGGUUUUUGUUCAAACCGUCUUUCCACUUGUUUGACAUAAUAGUCAUCAAAAGUAAGAUUGAACGUUUCUUCAAUUUUUCGUGUUCGUGUGUUUAACACUCUAUAUGCAACCGAAUUAUUCGAAUAACCCAAAAAUAUUCCUUCAUGCUUUAGCUUGAAAUUUCGAAAGAUUAUCUUUGAGGUUCAUUAUGAAGCACCUGCAUCCAAAAACAUGAAAGAAUUUUACAUUAGGUUUUCGAUUGUUUAUUACUUCAUAUGGAGUGAUAUUAAAUCGUCUAUGAAUAAAAGAUCGAUUCUGAGUAAACCAUGUUGUUGAUACAACUUCGGCCCAUAGGUAUUGAGGAAGAUUCGCAUAUGUCAACAUUGUUCUUGCCGCUUCGCACAAUGACCUAUUUCUCCUUUCGACUACACCAUUUUGUUGAGGUGUAUAUGGUGAUGAGAAAUUAUGCAAAUUCCUUUUGUCGUUAGAAACAAAUCCAACACAUUAUUUUUAAACUCAGACCCAUUAUCACUAUUGAUUCAUCGAACAUUCUUUUUAAGACUCAUCUCUAUUUUCUUGAUAAAUUCGAUCAUUGUUUGAGCAACUUCAGAUUUUAACCUGAGAAAAUAUACCCAAGUGAAUCAUGAAAAAUCAUUAACUAUUACCAAAAUGUAUCGUUUCUUGUUGACGGUUUCAACAGUUGAUGGUCCACAAAGAUCAAUGUGAAGAAGUUCCAACGGUUCAACAAUUUUCGAAUCUAUAACAAUUGGAUGUCCUUUACGAUGUUGUUUUCCUUAUUCACAAGUUGCAUAAAGAGUCUCAUUGUCAAAUUUCUGCACACGUAAACCACGAACAAAGUCUUAUGUAACCAUCUUAUUCAAGUUUCGAAAACUAAAAUGUGAUAAAUGCCUUUGCCAUAACCAGCUGACAUCAUUUGAGGCUUUCGAAAGUAGACACACAGAUGGUUUGCCUACAAUUGGUUUGAUAUCAAGCGUGAACAUAUCUCCAUAUAGUUUCGGCUUUAACAACACUUCAUUCGUUUCAACUUUUGAUAUUAUGCUUCCUUCUUCAUUAAACAUAACUUGAUUCCCAAUGGCCAUAACAAGUUGCAAAACACUUAUCAAAUUAUGUUGAAGACCUUCCACAUAAGCAACUCGAUUUACUGUGAAUUGGCCAUUUGUUACUUUUCCAUUACCUUUGACUUGACAUUUAUGAUUAUUUCCAAACUUCACCUCUACAACAUUUUCAAGACUUCGAAAAUCUCUUAAAUUCUCCUUUUUCCAGUCAUGUGACGAGAGCAACCACUAUCAAUGUACCAUUUCUCAUCAUAUUGUUCGUCACACAAUACAUGCAUUCAAUUAAAAAAUUUAGGUACCCAAGGCCUUUUGGGUCCUUGGUUAUUAGCUUGAAAUAAUGAAAGAAAUUUAGAACUCAAAGCCCAAGUGCGAACUUCGUUUUUACACUAUCAAUUAAGUCAACAUCAUCAAUUAAAGAUAUUGAAACAUAAUUUUUCGAUAGUUGUGGACUUUCAUUUGAUUUCACCUCAGGCUUCUCAAUUCGUGUAGCUUUGUUGAUUGGUUGCUAUCUCUGAACCGGAAUAUUUGAAUCUUGAGAAAAUGAACUUCCAGUCGAAGAUUCAUUCAAAUACUCUUCAUAAGCAUUUUUAAUCUGUUGUUGAGAAAACUUUCCCAAUUGAAACUUUUUCCCUUGUCCCUCAAGCCAAUGAUUGAUUGAUUGCACAUCCGAAGUACCUUUUGAGUUCGUAACCUUUGUUGCUUUAUGAACUGAUGGAUUUGGAAAAUUUGGUUUUUGUGGAGUGAAUUUGACAUUCGUUUGAGAAUGAGUUAAUUUUCUAACAUUGUCAUAUUUUCGGACAUUCACAAGGUUGUGAGUUGUCUUAAAAUUUUGAGAGUUAACAAUCUUUCGAACAUUUACAAUCUUUUGAUUUAUAUCACUUUUAUGCUUAGUUGAAGGAAAUGUAUCUACUACAUUUGUUGCAUAAUGAAAAGAAGUAUUGGUUGGUUUUCUUUUGAAAAACGUCUCUUGAUGAUUUGUUGUUUGAGAACUCAUCGAUAAGUUUAAAUUUGAAAAAUUGUUGAUUUUUCAUUUUUGUGAAUCUGACAAAACUUUGGAUUUUGAUAGAGCGGGAUUUUUCUUUUUCGUUGUUGAUUCGAAUGUUUGUUUUUCGUUUAACACUACUUGACCAAAAAUUGCUUUUCAUGCCUUUCUUUUUGAAACUCCUUUUUCUUUUGAAAAUUGUUCAACAAGUAUUUUAUAUUAUGGUGAAUUCAAUUUUACAACUUGAGAUGUCUCAACAAUUUCUUGUUUGAAAACUUCUUUUUCUUUUUCCGAUUUUACAACCCAUUUUCGUGUUGAUUUUUGUCUUUGAAAAACAUACGAAUUCUUGGUUAGGUUGUUUUCAAUAGUGCUUUGAUUCGAAAAGAAUCCUUCGUAUGACGUUCUUUUGUUGUCUUCUUCAAUCAAUUUGUUAAACUCUGGCUUGAUGUUCUCAGCAUUCCCAGUAGUGACAAAUACUUGAUUUGGAAAAACUACUUCAUCUGUGCAUGUAAAAUUUGGAUACAAGAAUGUAUUAGUUUCCAAAUAGUGAGCACCUUUUUCAUUCAUCAGUUUGUCAAACUUUUCAGUUCCUCCAUAAACUUGUUCAACAACUCUUGGAAUGGAUGUUUCAUUCGAAACAUUCUUUUCUGACUUAUUAUUACACAAAACUUUGACUUCGUCCUCCUCAUCAUCACUACUAUCUGUUUGACUGUCUGGUAUCUCCACAUCAUCAAAGUCACAAACAUUCGAAGUAGAGGGUUUUCCAAUAUCAUCCUCAACCAUCAAAACAUUAACAAUUUCUUUACCUUUGAACUUAGAUGUGACAUUAAUGAUAGAUAACUGAGAACAAUCCAUACUUUCCUCUUCUUCAAUUUCACUGAUUUCACUAACAUUAUCUGAGUUAUCAUCAAUAUCAGCAAAAUUGAAUUGAGAGUCAAGUUUCGAAUGUUCAGUUCUUUUCAAAAUUUUCACUUGUUCAUCUUUUGUCAAACUUUCAUUCACAAUUUCAACAAGUUCAUCAGCAUUUAGAAAUUCAUCUAUCUUAACAAUGCCAUAAGCAAAUCUAUCAUCUGACACUUUGUUAAAAUCAACUAUGGUAUUUUCAUAAUCAUAUGAGAUGAUAUCAACUUUUUCUCUUUCAAAGACAAGAAAAGGUAACAAUUUACGAUGUUGUUCUUUGCUAAUAUCAGAUGAAUGAUGUAAAGCAAUUAAUUUCACAUACAAACGUUUAGCUGAGUUACAAUAGAUGUUUCGUUGAGCAAGUAACAUCCUAACAUCCUUAUCUAGAUUUUCCCUAUCAGUAUUAACAUUCUUUAAUUGUAAUUCUAGAUACUCUACUCUACUUCGUUUCGUGUCAAGUAACUUUUGUGUCUCUAGCAGUUGAUUAUUAAGUUUCUUUGCUUCGUUACUAGCAGACACAACAAUAACAUCAAAGUAAGCAAAAGUAUCAUCAAAAGCAAUUAUUUCUGAAUUAUAUGCUUGUAAAGGAAUGUUAAAUCACUCAAGAAUAGAAUGUACCUUUGUUGUCAUUGGAGAUUUGUCGCUUGACUUCGUCAUGAAGCAUCGGCCAGCCACUUCUUCUUCUCCACCCUCAAACUUAGCAAACAUGACACCAUGAUUGGGAUGCCUCAUCUCUUCAUCAUCAGAUCCUGAAGAUCAUAUCUGAUAAGUGCCAUCAACUUCAUCUUCUCCUCUUUCCACAAGGGACAUUCCCUUAGCCUUUAUACGAACCUCUUCAAAGUUUUCAGAGUAGUACGCUUCGUCCUUCACUUUAUUCUUCUUCUCAUCUUUCUUACGAAGCAUGCAGUCAAUUGCAAGAUGGUUCGCCCCAUUGCAAUAAUGGCAAUCUAUUCCUGAAUCACCUUUCAAUUUAUUCUCUGUUUUUGACACUUUCCCUUUUUCAUCACUCUUCUCAGACUUUUCGAAUUUCUUUUUCUCAUCCACACCAGACUUCACGAAGCUUCCUUUUCCAUCACUUUGCUUCCCUUUGGGAUUCAAAGGCUUCUUGAAAAAAAAAUUUACUUGAUUGUUCGAGUAAAAAGUUACAGCUUCAUCAUCAGAGUUCAUGAGAAAUCCUUCUUCAUCCGAUCCCUCUUUUUCAAUAGUUUCUACCUCAGACAGUUUAGAAACAAGAGCUAGUGGUCCUCCUAUGCUCUGUUUUGCCUCUUCCAUCAUUUCCGAAACUUCACUUUCAUGUGUUUUUAGCUGGUUGUACCGAUCAUUUAGAGAUGAACUGUCGAAACUCUGUUGAUUCUUAAUCAUCAUACUCACACUCCUCCACUCCUUACGAAGUCCCAUGAAAAAUGUAAGAUUGAACUCCAUUAAGGACCUUGUGAUUCCAUACCUAUUGCAUCGGUAAAUCAGCUCAUUCAGACGAUCAUAAUAACCUUCAAUUGUUUCAUUUUCCUUUUGUAUGAACUCCUUCAGCUCUACCAAACAUUGCUUAACUGAAUUGAUCUUCGUCUUCUCACUCCCCUGAUACUUCUCCGUAAGAGUGAUCCAGAUAUCCUUUGCAGUUUUACAACCACGAAUGUAGUUGUAAACAACAGGUGGCAAAGCACCUCUCAGUUCUCUCAUACAACGUUUUUCAUUGUUUUCAAGCUUUGUGGAUUGAUUUUCAACAACAUAAGUUGUUGUAGAUGAGCCAAUGUUCUGAACAUUUCCUGGAGCUUGAACUGUUCCUUUGAUGCAAUUCCAUAAUUCCUCAUCUAGUCCAUUCAUAUAGUCUUCCAUACGAUCCGCCCAUUGAUCGUAAUACUCUGGAAUCAACAUCAGAAUUUUUGUUGACGAUCCAAGUAGAUGAGAAUAAGAAGUCAUUGUAUUCAAGUUGAAGUUUGCCAUCGAUGAACAAACGAGAAAAUUCAGAAAACUUGAUGAAUUUGAAAAUUGAUCCAAUGAAUUGAUCAGGAGAUUGUAAUUGAUCACUCGAUUAUACAAUUCAAAUGCAGAAUCUAAAUAAAUAUGUAGAUCAGAUGUGAUUUUCAGAACCAAAACACGGAAACUUUUUUAGACGAUAAAUGACUCAAAAACAAAUGAUUCAAAAUGAAAAUCAGAUCAUUGCAGUUUUAUUCCUGCUCUGAUACCAAUUGAAGAGGAAUUGUAACAAGAAAUCGAAUAGAAUCAGAGUUAAAUAAGUAAAAGAUCAAUUAAGAACACUGAAUGUAAAUAAAAUCUGGUUUCAGCCCAUAUUACUCUCAAAUGAAAAAGAGUUCAAAGGUGGACAACAUUCAGGGAAAACUUGUUAUCUAACUAUAUGUUCAAUACCUAUUAAUAGGAAACUGAGAGUACAAAAAAUACUAAGUCUAGGAGUUACACUUCGAACAUACAAUGACUUAGCAAAUACAUUACAUACGAAAUACAUCUAAUACACUUUGACUCUUUACAACAAGACUUCGAACCCAACAAGCAUAUAGGGUUUUCAUCCCACAAUAAAAUAUUAUAUUAUAUUUAAUCAUCAAACAAUCAACCCAAUUACCCACCCCCAUUAUCUCCUUUUAUUUCUUAAAGAUUUACCCUAAGAAUCAACUAUUCCUUAUUCAUUUAUUCCUAAGGAGUUAUCCUAAGGAAUCGGCAUGACAUCCAUCGUUGCUAGGGUUUUCUCAACAGGCACUAAAUCCAUAGUUACCAAGGUUUAUCUCGUUUAUUGACAGUAUCAAUUUCGAGACUCCUCUCGUAAUACAGGUCAAUGGGUUUUUUAGAGUACACCGGUGAACAUCAAGUCCACAACACCUACAAGUUGCAAGCCUACUGGUGUUCCACUGGACUGUCUAGAAUAGUCCGUGGUUGUCAUCCAUACUCUACUGAAUGACGGGGCCAUCGUUUGGGUAAAGGUUUCACUCAUUUUUCACCUGUCACCCUCAUCCCAUGAUCUAUAUCAUCUUUCAUCUCAUCCUCAAACUCAUCUUUCCUCACACACCAACUAUUUCAUCUACCCAUGUUCGACCCAACAUAUUUGUAGAUAUAAAUUACAUAUAUAGUUUAAAUCAUUUAAAAACCUAUAUAAAACAUUCAUUCAACAUCCAUCUCAAGUAAACAAACAANNNNNNNNNNNNNNNNNNNNNNNNNNNNNNNNNNNNNNNNNNNNNNNNNNNNNNNNNNNNNNNNNNNNNNNNNNNNNNNNNNNNNNNNNNNNNNNNNNNNNNNNNNNNNNNNNNNNNNNNNNNNNNNNNNNNNNNNNNNNNNNNNNNNNNNNNNNNNNNNNNNNNNNNNNNNNNNNNNNNNNNNNNNNNNNNNNNNNNNNNNNNNNNNNNNNNNNNNNNNNNNNNNNNNNNNNNNNNNNNNNNNNNNNNNNNNNNNNNNNNNNNNNNNNNNNNNNNNNNNNNNNNNNNNNNNNNNNNNNNNNNNNNNNNNNNNNNNNNNNNNNNNNNNNNNNNNNNNNNNNNNNNNNNNNNNNNNNNNNNNNNNNNNNNNNNNNNNNNNNNNNNNNNNNNNNNNNNNNNNNNNNNNNNNNNNNNNNNNNNNNNNNNNNNNNNNNNNNNNNNNNNNNNNNNNNNNNNNNNNNNNNNNNNNNNNNNNNNNNNNNAUAUAUAUAUAUAUAUAUAUAUAUUAUUUCAUAUAAAUAUGUGUGUUACUUAGACCGGUUUAGAAUAUAUUGGCCUGCUUUUGUCCGUCUGUGGUCUGAAUUCAUUUGAUUUGGAUCGAACUAAAUUGUGGUUUUAUCGACAAAAGUUACCAAAAUUAAUGUAACCGGGUUACCCGCUCCCGGAACCGAAACCGCCGGUUCCGGGAAUGGUUCCAAAUAUUUAAGAACUGCCUAGAGCGAAUCCGGUUCUGGUUCUAACUUUCUAGGAACCGUCGGUUCCGGUUCCGGUUCCAGUUCUCGCCAAAUGAGGCGGGUACCUGCCUAUGCUCGUCCCUACUCAAAUGUUCACGUCUUGAAAUUGGUCCUGCACAGGUCAUGGCGUUCUUCAUUAGUCCAUUGGCUCUGGAAAGUGUCCAUCUCCUAUUCACGUCGUCAACACCCUAUUCACGUCGUGAACUCUAACAGUGGUGGAAGUUUGUGCCCCGAACUUCAAAAAUCCAUAUCUCUCGCAUACGAGAUCUAUUUUUCGACGUUCCUUAUAUGCACGCGUAGGUGAGAUUAUGCUCUAUGACUUUCAUUUAGUCUCCGUCUGCUAAUUUUGACUUUAUUUUUAUUAUAUUAUUUUUAGUAGGCCGGGACAGGAAAACUCUGUUAUUAAUUCAUAACUCCUUCAUCUGACCUCCGUUUUCGUGUUUCCUUUUACCGUUAAACUACUUUCGACGAGAUCUUCGACUAUCGUUUAGAUUGUUUCGGCUAGAAAUCAUUCAAUCUCAUAUUCGAACUUUGGGCUCCAUACUGUUAAGUUGAAACUUAGAGAAAUCAUAACUUCCUCAUACGAAGUCAUAUUUAGACUUUCUUUUUAUGCACGCUCUUGGUUUAACGUAUUCUACAACUUUCGUUUAGAUCACCAAGGCUAAUUAUCGCUCUACUGUAAAUUCACUAUUUAUGUCGCGCUGCGUCGUGCCGGUUCUGUCGCGAAACUUCGACAGGUCAUAACUUUUUCGUUAUAACUCGGAUUUUUGCAUUCUUUAUAUAUCCGGAAUCCUUGUAAUGACCACUACAACUUUGUUAAGAUUAUUCAUUCUAAAUAAUCUUUUAUGAAAAAGUCACUUUUGAUGCUUAUCGUCUCUAAAUUGACUAGCCCGGAUCUACCGGCGUUACAAUUAUCUCCCCCUUAGGAUGGUUACAUCCCGGAAUCAUCAACGAAAUAGGUCUGGUAUAAUGAUUCCAUACGUUAUCCUUUCAUCUUAGGUAAUAAUCGUAAUUUCUAUAUUCAUUCGAAUGAGUAUCUAGCUCUUGGACUUUUGAACCGCAACCGAUGUUAAAUCUUGCAUCUGCUCUUCGUACUAUGUUGGACAUUCAAUCGUAACACUCGAGUUACAAAGUAAAUCCUUAUUGAGGACUCCUUCUUCUUAGGAUAAGUACUUUCCUUUUUCUAUUGUAACAGAUCGAUGGGUCAUGUUCUAAUGACAUUUCAUCGUUUGAUGCAACGCUUAGACUCAAGUCUCUUAGGGUCAAAUUCUAGAAUGGAAUAUACCUUCCUUCGUAUUCUAAUGUGAUAUAAUCACAUUUUUGCAUGUAGCAUUUCUAGCUACUAACUUCUUUAACAACGAGCGUGAUAUUAUUGAUCGCAUUGAUUUCAAUAUUCUGACUUAAGUCAGAUGUUACAUCAAACUUGGUUCUCUGAACCAUGUAACAAACUCAUCAUAGUCGGACUCAAUUUGAUAUGACCACUGUAACGCCCGCAAAUCCGGGCUAGUCAAUUUAGAGGCAAUAGGGGUCGAAAACGAAUUUUCGACAAAAGAUUAUUUAGAAUAAAUAAUCUUAACCAAGUUGUAGAGUAUGUCACAAGGUUUCCGUACAUAUAAAGAACGCCGAAAUCCGAGUUAUAACGAAGAAGUUAUGGCCCGUCGAAGUUUUACGGCAAAACCGGCACGACACCGGGAAGCAUAAAUAGUGAAUUUACGAUAGAGCGAGAUUUAGCUUUAGCGAUCUAAACGAAAGUCGUAGAAUAUGUUAAACUAAGAACAUCGAUAAAAAGAACGCCUAAAUCUGACUUCGUAUGAGGAAGUUAUGAUUUUUCUAAGAUUUAGCAUAGCAGUGCACAGCCCGAAAUCUGAAUUUUAGAUCGGUCGAUUUUUAGCCGACGGGAUCUAAAUGAAAGUUGUAGUACUCGUAAAUACCAACGCGUGGAUAUAAAGAACGUCGAUAAUAGAGCUCGUAUGCAAAAGUUAUGGACGAAGCUUAGUCCCUACUUUUCGAGCGCGGCGAAUUCGAUACAGUUUUGUAAAUACGAGAUAGAAUGAGAAUUAGCCAACGAGGUCUAAAUGAGAGUUGAAGAUCUCAUUAAUAGGAACUCAACGGUAAAAAGACAGACAAAAAUGGAGCUCGUAUGCGAAAGUUAUGGACGAAGCUUAGUCCCUACUUUUCGAGCGCGGCGAAUUUGAUACAGUUUUGUAAAUCCGAGAUAGAAUGAGAAUUAGCCAACGAGGUCUAAAUGAAAGUUGAAGAUCUCAUUAAUAGGAACUCAACAGUAAAAAGACAGACAAAAACGGAGCUCGUAUGCAAAAGUUACGGACGAAGCUUGGAGACUACUUUACUAUACACUUCCUAUAAAUACAAGGGUGAACUCCUCAUAUUUUCUUCACACCAUAAGCCUUUCUUUCUCUCUCUAACUUCUCUCUAACCUCCCUAAACCCCUCCCAAGUCUAGGGAACCUCCCUAUCACGAGAAGAAAGCCCCGGAGCGCCCGACGGCUCCGAGAAGAAAAGCUUUCGGCUCGGAAACGCUGCUCCAGCGAAGCCCGGUUUUUAAUAAAAACCCGCUGUAAGUGAGCUACGCCUAUAGUAUAUUUAAUAUAGAUUUUAUUUAAUUAUAGUAACAUUGUUAGGACCUUAAAAUAAUUAUUUAGGCUAUUAUUAUGAGUUAUAUUGAGUGUUAUUUAACGCUUAUAUAAUAGUAAUAAUAGCUAGACUAUUAAAUUAGUCUCGUCAAGCGUUAGACUAAACUCUAGUGGUAAUGAUACUAGGUUUCGUCAAGGGAUAAUUGUUUUAAGAGUAACGAAGUGCUGUCCGAGUGCCGACUCACCACCUUUCAGGUGAGUGCAUAGUCCCUUUCAUCUUACACAUAGAUAUGAAGUAUUUUAUAUAAACUACGUGCUAUGUGUGCACAUUAUCUGAAUACUUGCUGUCUAUGCUGGUUGAACGUUUUAUACAUGUUUUAAAGGACUUAAACUGUAUACGUAUUUUAUAUAUACGAAAAUGUUGGGUAUGAGAUGGGUAGAUGAAUGAUGAGAGAUAGAAGAUGACGUGAGUAUACAUUGGCAGCUAUAGACUUAGUGCCUAUGGGACAAACACCGGUAGCUAUGGACUUAGUACCUUUUAGACGUUGGUAGCUAUGGAUUUAGUACCUGUUGGGAAUUGGUAGCUAUGGACUUAGUACCUAUUAGUUAGACGCUGGUAGCUAAGGAUUUAGUACCUGUAGGAAUUGGUAGCUAUGGACUUAGUACCUGUUGAACAUUGGUAGCUAUGGACUUAGUACCUAUUAGAUAAAGACUGGUAGCUAUGGAUUUAGUACCCGAUGAAUAGACUAUAGCAGCUAUGGAAUUAGUGCUUUAUGAACGAACAUUGGCAGCUAUGGAUUUAGUGCCAGUCCCAUAACCCUGGAAGUAAGGGACUUCGGAAUAAACGAAUGCAGGAUAGAUGACUCUUAGGUUAAAUCCUUAAAGAGUAAAGAAGAUAAUGGGGAUGGGUAAUUGGGUUGAUUGUUUGAUUGAACAUAAUAAUUAUAUUAUUGUGGGUUGAAAACCCUAUGUACUCACCAGGUUUCCCAACCUGACCCACUCAGUUUAUGUAUAUCACAGGUGACGAAGUGAAGUGACAUUACACUGAGAGAUUUAAAAGAGAUGUAGAUCACUAGUGUAAAUCAUUGUAAGUUCUGUUUAUGCUUAUGUUUCGGUAUUAACGAUGACAUCCCAAACAUUUUAAAAUGAAAUAAAUACGUUUCUUCGAAAAUGUUUUAAUAACGUAUUUACCAUGUUUUUCUGGGAACAAAUUCCGCAACCUUUUUAUAAAAUGAAGUACUCUGAUUUUUAUAAAGCAUAAACAAAAUCGGUCUUUUCUGGCCGUGAUUUUGGGGAUGUCACAGUUGGUAUCAGAGCAUUAGUUUAAGCGAACUAGGAAUAUGGAUUUAUUUCUAGACUUAAACUUAGAAUGCUAAGCGAUGAUUGUGAGGUGUGAGCACUAGCUUAUUUUAGGAAUUGUGCCUAAAAUGCUUUUAUGUGCUAAAUGCUUUGUGCAUGAUAUGUUGUUAAUUGUUCGGAUCUAUGGUCUGUUGCCGACCGGAUCUGGAAACCUUAUGUGUUUAGGAUUCUAAACGUACGACUACGGUAUUAGAACUAGCAUGUAAACGUUUCGGAGUGAUAAGGAUGAUUUAAACGUCAAGUAAAGGUCUAAAUUCACCUUAUUCGGUGUAUAGAUCGAGAUGGUAAGGACCCGUAGCGGAAACGUAAACGCAAAUGGGAACAGGAACCAACCCCCAGUGGUUCAGCAAAUACCUGUUGUAGAAGAAGUUGCGCCUGAGCCAGUCACCAUGGCUGGAGUUCAAGCCAUGAUUCGGGCUAUGUUGGCUGAACAAAGGGAAGAAAUGAGACGGAUGUUGAAUAGGGACGAACCUACUAUGCCCAUUGAGCAACCCGAACUGAUUCCCGAGCAAUCUGAGGAAGGGAACUACAGCCGCCAAGUGAGUCAAGUUGGGACUCAAGGUGAGCAAAGGGAUGGCCCAGAAGGGAGAAACAACAAGGAUGGGCGGAUGUACAAGAAUUUCUUGGGUGCGAAACCCCCAAGUCUCUCAGGAAGCCCGAAGCCGGUUGAGAUUAUGGAUUGGAUCUCUGAGAUGGAGAUGGUGUUUGAGAGCUGCAGCUGUAACGAGAAACAGAAGACUGUCUUCGCUGUAAGACAACUGAAAACUGGAGUCUUGAGCUGGUGGAAGCUAUUGGCAGAUACGAUGCCACGAGGAGAAGCCUUAAGGAUGUCGUGGGAAGAGUUUUUGGAACAGUUGAAAAUGCAGUACUGCUCAGAGGUAGAUCUGAUAGACCUAAACAACGAGUUUCAGAACCUGAAGAAAGGGAAGAUGAGUGUUGAUGAGUAUGCCACCGCAUUCACCGAGAGGAUGAAGCUAUUCCCCUACUUGGUGCCUACUGAACUCUCCAAGAUUGAUAGGUUUGCUAACGGACUGCCCACUGACUUUGGCCCAAUGGUCAAAAUGGCAACUACCUUGAAAGCAGCUGUUAGGGCAGCUAAGAACGUAGAGGCCCAGAUAAGAGAAAAGGGUCUAGAAAAAGAUAAGGCAGGAGAGAAGCGAAAGUUUGAGGGAUCUUCGAGGUCGAACAAGGAAAGAAAAUUCUCAAAACUUGGAGGAGCAGAUGGAGGUGAAGCAAGAUGGUGUGAUAGAUGCAAGAAGAAGCAUGGUGGGAAGUGCAAUGAAGAAGUGACUUGUUACAAGUGUGGGAGGACUGGUCACUAUUCCAAAGACUGCACACAUGAUGAUAAAGUAUGCUACGGAUGUGGAGGCAAGGGGCAUAUGUCCAGAGACUGCCCAAAGAAAAAUAAAGCAGUAAGACCAGAAACGCCACCAAGGCCAAGGGCAUUUCACAUGAUCCUCGACGAAGCAGAAAACCGUGCGAGGAAUCACGGAUGAGGACUUCAUAUCAGAAGAUCAAGUUAUGUAGUAGCCAUAGUAUUUUAUGAUGUAGCCUAGUAGAGGCAUAGUCUAGGGUGAACUUGAACACCUAUGUAAUCGUUUCAAGAAUUAAUAUAAAACCUUCGUUUUGUUAUCUGAUGUGUCGAAUGAUUGUGUGAUUUGCUGCAUGGUGACUUGGGAAACUGCGAGACAAUACUUGGGACGAGUAUGAGUAGGUGUGAAUGGUAGUAGAGGCCUAUACUACCGGAAGCACAGGACUCACACUUGGAUCAGGGAAAGUCACAAGGUUACCAAGAAGCUAGUAAUUGAUUUCGUUUUAUUCAAGUGUGUUGUUACCAUCGUUUCGGUAAUGACUAAGAAGAUUGUUGAUAUUCCGACCCUAGUGGUCAUAUCGAAUCGAGUCCGACUACGAUGAGUAUGUUGUGUGGUUCAGAGAACCAAGUUUGAUGUAGCGUCCGACUUAAACCAAACGGUUGAAAUCAAAGCGAUCAAUAGAAGUAUCGCACUCGUUGUUAAAGAAGUUGGUGGCUAGAAAUGCCUAAUGUUAAAGUGUGAUUAUAUCACAUUAGAACAUGAAGGAAGGCAUAGUCUGUUUUAGAAUUUAACUCUAAGAGACCUAAGUCUAAGUGUUGCAACAUACGAUGAUAGGUCAUUAGAAUAUGACACAUCGAUCCAUAGUAGUAAUAAAAGAAGUCAUCUCAAAUUCGUAUCCAGUAAGGAUCGAGAUUUUGACUUGAAGAUCAUAAUUUGGAGUCUAGCCUGAGGAAGAGAGCAGGUGCACGAUCGAGUACUACAUACAGUCAAUAAGUCUGAGAGAUAGACUUGAAGGAAUGUAGAAGUUAUAAUUAUUACCUAGGAUGAAGAGACGACGUAUGGAGUCAUUAUACGACCAUGUUUCGUUGAUGAUUCCGGGACGUAAUCAUCCUAAGGGGGAGAUGUUUGUAACGCCCGCAAAUCCGGGCUAGUCAAUUUAGAGGCAAUAGGGGUCGAAAACGACUUUUCGACAAAAGAUUAUUUAGAAUAAAUAAUCUUAACCAAGUUGUAGAGUAUGUCACAAGGUUUCCGUACAUAUAAGGAACGCCGAAAUCCGAGUUAUAACGAAGAAGUUAUGACCCGUCGAAGUUUUACGGCAAAACCGGCACGGCACCGGGAAGCGUAAAUAGUGAAUUUACGAUAGAGCGAGAUUUAGCCUUAGCGAUCUAAACGAAAGUCGUAGAAUAUGUUAAACUAAGAACAUCGAUAAAAAGAACGCCCAAAUCUGACUUCGUAUGAAGAAGUUAUGAUUUUUCGAAGUUUCGGACUAGCAGUGUACAGCCCGAAAUUCGAAUAUUUGAUCGAGCGGUUUUUAGCCGACACGACCUAAACGAGAAUCGAAGAUCUCGUUGAGAGUAGCGUAACGAGAAAAAGAUGGGCGAAAACGGAUGUCGGAUGAAGAAGUUAUGAGGAUUUAACGGACCAAUCGUGUCCCGGCCCGUUAAUAAUAUAAAAAUUAAAAUCGAGCCAAAAUUAGCCAACGAAGUCUAAACGAAAGUUGUAGAGUACGUUCCCACCUUCGCGUGGAUAUAAAGAACGUCGAAAACGGAGCUCGUACGCGAAAGUUACGAAUUUUUAAAGUUUAUAAUCGAAUUUGCGAAGGCUGAUGAGGAUUGAUGACGUGGCACGUUGUGGGCCGUCGGAUGAUGAUUCAGAUCUCGCUUCGGAUCAUGCCACGAAGCCUCGCAGUACGCCCCGCGUCCGAAGAGGUUACGCCCCGCGUAGGUCCGAUCUGAUCCAUCCGAUGGGUGCGAGACAGCUGGGUCCGAGCUGGUGAUCUUAUCCGAGGAGUACGCCCAGCGUACCCUCGGUACGCCCAGCGUAAAUCCGAGCUUCGGUCCCUAUAAAUACCAUGCGAAUUCUUCCGGAUUUUUCACACAUUUUCACUUCUCUCUCUAAACUACUUUCUCUCUCUAACCCUUUUGGAGUCCCCUAAGCCCUAGUUAAACCCUUAGCACCCUAGGGAAGCCCCGAGGCUCCCGGAGUCCCGAGAAAAAGGAGUUUUUCGGUUUCGAAACGCUGCUCCAAUUAAGUCCCGGUUUUCGAUAAAAUUCGCUGUAAGUGUGCUACGCUUACGCAAUUUUUUAUAUAGCUUUCAAAUAAUUAUAGGAAUGUUAUUAGGUCCUUAAAAUAAUUAUUUGGGCUAUUAUUAUGAGUUAUAUUGAGCGUUAUUAACGCUUAAUAAUAGUCAGACUAAUUAAUUUGUCGCGGUUAUCGUUAAACUAAACCCUAGUGGUAUCGGUACUAGGUUUUAUCGAAGGAAUAUCGUUUUGAGAGUAUCGAAGCGCUGUCCGAGUGCUGAGUCACCACCUACUCAGGUGAGUGCAUAGUUACUUUCAGCUUACACAUAGAUAUGAAGUAUUUUACGUGCUGUGUGUGUAUAUUAUCUGUAUACUUGCUAUCUAUAUUGGAAGAACGUUUUAUACAUGUUUUCAGUGAUUCAAACUGUAUAAGUAUUUUAUAUCUACAUAAUGUGCGGGGUAAAACACGGGUAGAUAUAAUAGUUGCUGUGUGACAAAAUAAAAUAAUGAGAGGCCUCGUUAUAGCUGUUCUUGAUGAUCUAGUCAUCUAGCGGAGUAUAGAUGACAACCACGGACUAUUCUAGACAGUCCAGUGGAACACUAGCAGGCUCGCAACCUGUAGGUGUUUAUUCGAACUGUGUGUUUAUUCGAACUGUGUGUUUAUUCGAACUGUGUGUUUAUUCGAACUGUGUGAACUGUGUGCUCACCAGGUAUACUCCAUCCCAAUGAUAGUCCUUUGACUAGGUCCCUUGUGUUAGAUGUUUUAGGGACGUAAUGUGAGGAUAACGGGAAUGGGUAAUUGGGUUGAUUGUUUGAUGUUUAAAAAUAAUAAUUAUAUUAUUGUGGGUUGAAAACCCUAUGUGCUCACCAGGUUUCCCAACCUGACCCACUCAGUUUAUGUAUAUCACAGGUGUUGAUAUGAAGUGACAUUACACUGAGAGAUUUAAAGAGAUAUAGAUCACUAGUGUAAAUCAUUGUAAGUUCUUUUUAUGCUUAUGUUUAUGUAUUAACGAUGACAUCCCAAACGUUUUAAAAUGGAAUAAAUACGUUUCUUCGAAAAUGUUUUAAUAACGUAUUUACCAUGUUUUUCUGGGAACAAAUUCCGCAACAUUUUUUAUAAAAUGAAGUACUCUGAUUUUUAUAAAGCAUAAACAAACCGGUCUUUUCUGGCCGUAAUUUUGGGGAUGUCACAACCACUAGGGUCAGAAUAACAACCAUCUUACUAGUCAUUAUCGAAACAAUGGUAAUGGCAUACUUGAAUAAAACGGAAUCAAUUACUAGCUUCUUGGUAACCUUGUGACCUUCCCUGAUCCAAAUGUGAUUCCUAUGCUUUCAGUAGUAUAGGCCUCUACUACCAUUCACACCUACUCAUACUCAUCUCAAGUAUUGUCUCACAGUUUAACCAAGUCACCAUAGAAAAUCACACAAUCAUUCAACACAUCAGAUAACAAAACCAGGGUUUAUAUUAUUUAUUGAAACUAUUACACAGAGGUUCAAGUUCACUCUACACUAUGCCUCAAGUGGGCUACACCAUGCGUUACUAUCUAUUGGCUACUUUAUAUCUUGAUUUUUGGUUAUGUAAAUCCUUACUCCUAAUCCCUUGCAUCGUCACCUACUUCAUUAAGGAUCAUUGGGAAUGCUCUUGCCUUUGGGUUUGGCAGUGCCUCUAGCCUUGCUGCUUCAUUUUUCUUUGGGCAGUCUCUAGACAUGUGCCCCUUGCCUCCGCAUCCUUAGCAUACCUUAUCAUUUUGUGUUCAAUUCUUGGAAUAGUGGCCGAUCCUUCCACAUUUGUAACAGGUUACUUGUUCGUUGCAUAUUCCAAAGUGCUUCUUCUUGCACUUUUCACACCACUUGUCUCCAUACCUUUGAUCAUCUAGGUUAGACCUUGCGAACUUUCCAUUACUAUCUGGUCUUGAGGAUCCUUCAAGCUUCCUCUUCUUGCCAACUUCAGCUUUCUCCAGACCCUUUUCCCUUAUUUGGGUCUCAACAUUCUUGGUUGCCCAGAUGGCAGCUCUCAAAGUGGUUGGUUGCUUGACCAUUGGACCAAAGUCCGCUGGUAAUCCAUUGGCAAACUUGUUGACCUUGGAAAGUUCCGUUGGAACUAGGUAGGGAACAAGCAUCAUCUUCUCCGUAAAACUAGUAGCGUACUCAGUGACGCUCAAGCUUCCCUUCUUCAGAUUCUGGAAGUCAUUGUUGAUUUUCAGAAGAUCCUGCUCAUAGUAGUAUCGUAUCUUUAGUUUCACCACAAAAUCUUCCCAAGAUAUCUUGCUAGCUUCUCCCAUGGGCAUCGAACCAGCUAGUAGUUUCCACCAGUUCAGCACUCCAGACUUUAACAGAGGAAUCGUGAGAGCGAUUUUCUGUCUGUUGCUACACUCGCAACUCUUAAACAUUGUCUCCAUCUCGGAGAUCCAGUCCAUAACUUCCACUGGUGUCGGGCUUCCAGAUAGACACGACGGUUUGGAUGCCGUGAAAUCCUUGUACUUGCAUCCGCGUCCUUCAUUUCCUCCAUCCUGAUAGUUUUGUCUAUCUAUCGGUAGGUUGGCUUGACCAACGAUCUGACUAUAGUUCCCUCUUUCUGACUGCCCAUCAUUCAGCUCAGGCUGUUCAACUAGUAUUGUAAGUUCUUCAGGAUUCUACCGAAGCAGACGUCUAGUUUCCUCCAUCUGAAUAUCCAACAUCAUUUGAAUCAUCGCUUGUACCCCAACCAUUGUCAUUGGCUCAGGUACUGCUGCUACCACAUCUACUUGCUCAACCACAGGUGGUUAAUUCCUGUUUUCAUUUGCGUUUCCAACUCCGCUUCUUGUUCUUGCCAUUUUUUAUCUAUACACCGAAUAAGGUGAAUUUAGAUCCUUAUUUACGAUAGAUAUUGAAAUCAUCCUUAUCACUCUGAAAUGAUUACAUGCUAGUUCUAAUGUCGUCGUCAUACGAUUAGAAUCCUAAACACAUAAGGUUUCCAGAUCCGGUAGGCAACAAACCAUAAAUCCGAUCACAUAACGCAUAUCACAAACCAUUUAGAACAUAAAAGCAUGUUAGGCAUUUUCCUAAAUAAGCUAGUGCUCGUGUCUAUUCAGGUGCAUUACCUAAAUCUAUUGGUCACACUCCUCACAAUCAUUGCUUAGCAUUGUAAGUUUAAGUCUAGAAAUCCUAUAAAUUCCUAAUUCUCUUAAACUAAUGCUCUGAUACCAAAUGUGACAUCCCCGUUUUCACGGCCAGAAAAGUCCGAUUUGUUUAUGCUUUGUUUUAUAAAAUCAAAGUAAUCCUUUGAUUAAAAGAGUUGCGGAAUUUGUUCCCAAAACAAAAUAUGAUAAGAUAUUAUCAAAACAUUUCUUAAAGAAAUGUAUUUUCAUUAAAUAACAAAAUCUUGGGAUGUCAUGUUCCGAUACAGACCAAAAGCAUAAAAAGUAUUAUAUAGACCUUACAACAGUUAUUUACAACUUGAUAAGUCAUCCAACUUAUGCACUGGUGCCACUACCUGUAAUACAAAGAAAACUGAGUGGGUCAGGCUGGGGAGCCUGGUGAGCAUAUAGAGUUUUCAACCCACAAUAAAAUAUUAUAUUAUAUUUAAUGAUCAAACAAUCAACCUAAUUACCCACCCCAUUAUCUCCUUUUAUUUCUUAAAGAUUUACCCUAAGAAUCAGCUAUUCCUCGUUCAUUUAUUCCUAAGGAUUUAUCCUAAGGAAUGGGCACGAAAUCCAUCGUUGCCAGGGUUUUCUCAAUAGACAUUAAAUCCAUAGUAACCAAGGUUUAUCUCGUUUAUUGGCAGUAUCAUUUUUGAGACACCUCUCGUAAUACAGGUCAAUGGGUUUUUUAGAGUACACCGGUGAACAUCAAGUCCACAACAGCUACAAGUUACGAGCCUACUAGUGUUCCACUGGACUGUCUAGAAUAGUCUGUGGUUGUCAUCCAUACUCUGAUGAAUGACGUGGCCAUUGUUUGGGUAAACGUUUCACUCAUUUUUCACAUGUCACCCUCAUCUCAUGAUCUAUAUCAUCUUUCAUUUCAUCCUCAAACUCAUCUUUCCUCACACACCAACUAUUUCAUCUACCCAUGUUCUACCCAACAUAUUUUUAGAUACAAAUUACAUAUAUAGUUUAAAUCANGCAUAUAAACAAUAUAUAUAUAUAUAUAUAUAUAUAUAUAUAUAUAUAUAUAUACAUAACACGUAUUUUAUAACAAAUACCUCAUAUCUAUGUGUAAGGUGAAAGUAGCUACACACUCACUUGAUAAUAUGAUUAUCAGACAACACUACGGCUCUUCAAGUAGUAUUCUUUGAUGAAACUGAGAUAUCUUCACAAGUCGGGCUUCUCGCGGGUAGAGUUUAGGCUUAAAACUCUUUUCUUCUCGGGAUCUUCGGGGCUUUGGGACUUGCUUCGGUGCUGGGAUGAUACCGGGGUUUCAGGGGUACUUCAAGACAGCUAGAGAGGCUAUAGAUAGUAAGAGAGUGAAGGAAUUAGCAACCAUGGCCGGCUGCCCUUCCGUUUCUAUUUAUAGGGCUGAUUUUUUGGAUUCACGUCGUCAACCUCAAAUGUUCACGUUGUGAACUUGGUCCCGCACAGGUCAUGGUGUUCGUCAUCAGUCCACUAGGUCUCCAUCACCUGUUCACAUCGUGAACUCUGACAGUGGUGCAAGAGAUGGAUUUUGAGCAUUCUAACACUCCUAUGGUGUACAUGCAACCCUAGAAACCUUGGAUCUAUGUUUGACUAAGAUACAUGCAAAUAAUCAUUUUUCCAAGGUUCUUAUCCUAACUAGCAUGGCAUGGGGUACUUGAAUCAAAUAAAGCUAGUAGAAUUACUUACCUUCUAGUUGUAGUUGAUUGCUUGGAGUUUGAGAGCCUAGCACCAAUAAUGUGGAUGCCUCAAAUGGAAGUCACAAAUCACCAGAAACUUGGAAACUUGAGAGAAUAGUCACAACCUUUCUAGAAAUCGGCCUUCUUAAUAUACUCAGGACAACUAGUGUGAUUUCAAGAACUAAAGCCCCCUUUAUAUAGUGUGGUGGAUUAUGGUUACAUCCAUGUAAACCCUAAUACCCAUGUCUUUUCAUUUCCAUGAGAUCCAUGGCUUAAAGCUCCAUGGAGUAUCCAUGGACUUUCCAUGCAAGCCUAGCUCAUUCCAAAUAAACAUUAGCCCACACUAUAUAAAUAAAAGAGCCCAUAUUUAAUUAAUCAUACUUUUGAUCUCUUAAUUAAUUCUAAAUUAAUUACAGAUCAAUACUAAUUAAAUAAUAUGAUUUUAUAUUAAUAUAUUAGAACUUAUAAUAUAUCAAUAAAUCAUACCUUAUACUAUUCUCAAAAUAUUAUCCAUAAAUUGUUCUGGUGAAGUGCAACCCAAAUAGACCAUGCCGGGUCGGGUCAAGGACGUACUAAAUAUAGUUAUGGACUUAGACACUAUAUCCAACAGUCUCCCACUUGGAUGAGUCUAAUAACUAUAGUUGCAAGUAUGACUUUAGGAACCGAUCAGCAAUCGUAGCUCUUAAAACUCUGUUGAACUAUGAAGCACCAUUUUAGAUAAGUGAUCAAAUAAUCAUCUGUUCUAGAUAUCACCCGGAAAAAUACAUGGUACAUGGUCUUGCUUAUUGUCCAACAUUUGUUUCUCGAUUUCCGAUUUGUUUGACAUAGAACUUAACUGAACACAUCAAUUUAGUUCUGACCGGGCCCGGUACAUAGGUCAAAAGAAAAUCAUCGAGGGGCCCGGAUAUCGCUUCUAAUCCUAGAAGGAACAAAUAAACUUCGACUCACAUGUUUGCUCUACUACUUGUUGAAUUACACACAAAGGCACGGUUUAUAACAUCGAGUUACCAAUGUGUUUUAAUGCAAUCAAUGCAUAACCAACUCAUAGGCAACAAAUCAUAUCUUUAGUUUUGAAGACUUAUGUGAUAUCACCGUCUCACGAUCACUCGAGAUAAAUUCCAUGAGUGAUACCAGUGAGCGUGGGUUGAAUCCAAUACUCAGAACUUUUGAGCACUCAUGGGUGUUGUAGACCCGCUUUGUCUAACAUCUUAGACCUCUACAAGCUAACCCAUGAUAGUCUUGAUUCAUAUCUACUUCCAACAUAUGACCGAAUGUGGAGAGUUUGAAUAAUAUGAUAUAAACCAUAACAUAAUUAUUCUGGAAGCCAAAACAAGCAAAAAGAAAUAAUAGUAAACAAUUGAAAAGAGAUAGCAACACUUUACUCAUAAAUAACAGCUUUUAUUUAUCAUCAAAUGUCAAUUACAUUUUACAAAUUUCAAGAUUAUCUAACUACUAAAACUAAUAUCAUCCAUCAGCCAUGUGCUCUGAGCAUGUUGGAGUUGCUUAACCCAAGUCAGUCCCUUUGUGAGGGGAUCUGUUGGGUUCUCAUACGAUGAUACCCUCUUUGCCAUGAGGAUUCCUUCUUGUAUUCGAUGUCUGAUGAAGUCAUAUUUACUGUCAACGUGUCUGGACCUUCCACGAUCUCUUGGUUCCUUGGCUAAGGCAACCGCACUAUUGGUGUCACAAAAAAUCUUCACUAGCUCCUUUAUAGCUGGUACAACUCCAAGGUCUCCAAUGAAGUUCUUUAGCCAUAUAGCCUCCUUUGCUGCCUCGCUUGCUGCUAUAUACUCUGAUUCACAAGUGGAAUCUGCCACUGUAUCUUGCUUGGAACUUUUCCAAGUAAUUGCUCCUCCAUUUAGGGUAAAGACCCAGCCCGACUAAGAGCGGAAAUUAUCCCUGUCAGUCUAAAAGCUAGCAUCACUAUACCCUACUACUUUCAAGUCAUCACUCGCACCAAGGGUUAGGACCCAGUCCUUAGUCCUUCGCAGGUACUUGAGAAUAUUCUUUAUAGAUGUCCAGUGAGCCUUUCCAGGAUUCCCCUGAUAUUUGUUGACCAUGCUCAAAGAAAAGGCAACAUCAAACCAGUUCACGUCAUAGCAUACAUGAUCAAGCCUACAGCGGAAGCAUAUGGUACUCGACUCAUCUCAGCUAUCUCAGCCUUUGUACUCGGACUCUGAGUUUUACUCAGUCUGGCAUUACACUGGAUAGGUAACUCACCUUUCUUGGAGUUAUGCGUGUUGAACCAUUUCAACACUUUGUCCACAUAGGUGCUUUGACUAAGUCCAAUUAGUCUUUUACUCCUGUUUCUCAAAAUCCUUAUCCCUUGGAUAUAGGUAGCUUCUCCAAGGUCCUUUAUAGCGAAACACUUCCCAAGCUAGGACUUUACUUCCUGCAAGGUUGGGAUGUCAUUUCCAAUGAGUAAUAUGUCAUCCACAUACAAUACCAAAAAGCUAACUAUACUCCCACUAGCCUUGACAUAUACACAAGGUUCAUCUUCGAAUCUCGAAAAGCCAAACUAUUUGACUUUCUCAUCGAAACAAAGAUUCCCUCUACGAGGUGCUUGUUUCAAUCCAUAAAUGGAUUUCUCAAGCUUACACACUCUAUUAGGGUACUCUGUACUGACAAAACCCUCUGGCUGAACCAUGUAAACAUCUUUAGCCAACUUUCCAUUAAGGAAAGCGGCUUUGACAUCCAUUUGCCAUAUUUCAUAGUCAUGAAAUGCAACAAUGGCUAAUAGAACACUAAUAGACUUAAUCUUGGCAACUGGUGAAAAGGUCUCAUCAUAAUCAACUCCCGGAGUUUGAGAAUAACCCUUUGCAACCAGUCGUGCCUUGUAAGUGUGUACGUUACCAUCCAUGUCGGUCUUCUUCAUGAAGAUCCAUUUGUACCCAACUGUCUUACGAUCAGGGAUAUUGUGAACCAAGUUCCAAACUUGAUUGUCAUACAUGGAUUGUAUCUCGCUAUCCAUAGCCUAUUUCCAUUUAGCAGCCUUAGGGCCUUCCAUGGCUUCCGUGUAGCUAUUAGGCUCAUCCAGAUUUACCAGUGUGUUAUCACUGAUAAGUGUAUCAUCUUCUGCAGCAAUAUGGAAACCAUAAUAAUGCUCAGGUGCAAUUCUGACUCUGGUGGAACGCCUCAGAGGUACAGAUUCUUCAGUUGGCUUAAUAGGAGUUUCCUCCUCAGUUUGAAGGCUUGGGGUUGAGGUUCCUUCACCACUUGACUCUUGAAUUUCCUCAAGGUCAAUUUGCCUCCCACUGUCUCCUUGGCUUAUGAAUUCUCUUUCUCGAACUAAUCCUCUUCUUGCUACAAAGACCACAUUCUCACUGGGUCUGUAGAAGAUGUAACUAAAGGAUUUAUGUGGGUAGCCGAUGAAAAUACACCUGUCGCUUCGGGGUUUGAGCUUAUUGUGAGUCUCGUGUCUCACGAAAGCCUCGCAACCCGAAAUCUUGAUGUAGUCUAGAUUGGGAACUUUUCCAGUCCACAUUUCGUGAGGUGUUUUGGCAACCUUCUUUGUAGGGACUAGAUUAAGGAUAUGGGCGGCAGUCUCUAAGGCAUACCCCCAAAAUAAUAUUGGUAGCGAAGCUCGACUCAUCAUGGAACGAACCAUGUCCAACAAGGUCUGAUUGCGCCUCUUAGCUACACCAUUCAACUGAGGUGUCCUAGGAGGUGUCAAUUGUGAGAUAAUCCCGCAUUCCUUGAGAUAGUCGAGGAACUCUGAACUAAGAUACUCACCACCUCGAUCGGAUCGAAGCAUCUUAAUGUUCCUGCCCAACUGAUUCUCCACUUCUUUCCUAAACUCUUUGAAUUUUUCAAAGGUUUCUGACUUAUGCUUGAUUAAGUAGAAAUAUCCAUAUCUACUAAAAUCAUCAGUAAAAGUCACAUAGAAGCGAUUAGCAUCUCUUGUAAUGGUUCUGAAGGGUCCACACACAUCUGUGUGUAUGAGGUCCAACAAACCUUCACCCCUAGCACAAGUGCCAAUAAAAGGUGACUUUGUCAUUUUACCAAGUAAACAAGAUUCACAACUAUCAUCCGAUUUUAGGUCAAAUGACUCCAUGAAUCCAUCCUUUUGGAGUUGGCCUAUGUGUUUCUUGCUUACAUGUCCAAGACGACAAUGCCAUAAAGAUUCUUUAUCUAAGCUAGUGGAAGAGUCAAUACACAAUACAUUAAUUCCUUGAUUAUCUACAACAGAUACAGUUUCAUACACACCAUCACAAGGCAAUGCUUUAAAAUAAAGAACAUUAUUAAAGAAAGCAUCAAUACCACCAUUAUUAUUAUCAAAAUAAAAGGCAAAACCUUGUUUAUAUAGUUCAUGAAAGGAUAUAACAUUUAUUGCCAUUUCUGGUGAAUAAUAACAUUUAUUCAAAUCUAAUGUAAACCCACUAUUUAGCAAUAAGGAAUAAACUCUUAUCUUGGUGACAGGUGAAGCUUUCCUGUUUCCCAUGAUCAAGUUUAUCUUUCCCUGCUCCACAUUCUCACUUCUUCUUAGUCCCUGCAAAUCUGAACAUAUGUGAAUUCCACAACCUGUAUCAAGGACCCAAGACUUUGAAUGAGGUGAGUUAUUAGACAAUAUAGUGUAUAUACCUGCAUGGUUGGGUUUUACUUUCCCAUCCUUCAAAUCUUGUUGUUACUUUGGACAGUUUCGCUUCCAGUGCGACCUUUUAUGGCAAUAGAAGCAUUCAGCCUCAUUAGUGUUAGCAGAAGGAGUGACAAAACCUUUCUUGGUUUUGCUUGAAAUGGAGCCUUCAAGGGUCUUACCCUUGGUACCCUUAGAAGGGUUCUUUCUCUUCAUCCCUUUGCCAUGCCCGAUUUCCAGGACAUUGGCCACAGUUGGGGUAGGAGGAGUAGUAACACCCGACUGGCGUUUAAGACUACUUUCUAUAGUCUUUAAAAGCCAUUGAAGUUUACUAAGUGUAACUUCUUCCUUGUUCAUGUGGUAUGUCAUUCUAAAUUGAUCAUAACAUGAAGGUAAGGAGUGCAAAAUAAUAUCUAUUGCCAUCUCCUUAGGAAAGUCUACAUUUAGUUUCUUCAAACGGUCCACGAAUCUUUGCGUUUUCUGCAUGUGGCCUGUGAUGGUCUCACCAUCCUUCAUUCGGGUAGUUAUCAUGGAGGAGAUACUUUUAUACCUUUCUUGAUGAGCACUUUGAUGGUAGCGGUCCAUCAAAUCCAUGUACAUCUCAAAAGGGUAGUGGUCGUCAUAGGACUUUUGGAGCUCAGCUGUCAUAGUGGCCGUCAUGAUGUAUGCUACCUUAGUAGCAUCCCUUUCAUGUGCCUGAAAUGCAGCAAUCUCCUUUGGAGUAGCAGUUGACUCAUCAAUAUCCUUUAGCUCCUUAUCAAGGACAUAUUCAUUGUCCCCAUAACGACUGACCAUCCUGAUGUUUCUGAUCCAAUCCAUAAAGUUUGAUCCAUCAAAGAUGACUCUCCCACAAAGAUUCAUGAGAGAAAAGGAGCCAAUAGGGUUUAAGCCAGAAGCAUUGUUAUUGGAACACGUCUGAAAGGAAGAAAGAGUAGAUUAGAUUAGAUAUAAAGAUAGUUCUUAAUAAAACACCCAAAUGUAAUAUUAAGGCUAGGACCUAACACAAUAUUUUAUAGCUUAAAAGAGGGAUGCCAUAAUCUAAGCUAUAAGAUAUUUGAAGGUAUGUGCAUGACGAUUCACCAAUUUCCACCAUGAAAAACGAAAUAUUUAAUUAGGUUUUAAUUGGUUUAGAAACUCCUAGAUUCUUUGAUAUUCAUUGAAAAUUUUCAUUGGCAUGUUUCAAUCUCGAGUGUGCCCUUCAAGUUUUGUGACUGGUAUGUCGAGGAUCACAAAACAAGGUGUGACAUAACCAUGCAAAUUACUUGGUACCCUUAAUGUAUUACCCCUCAAUCGAUGUGCAGGUUAACCACACACGCUCCAUGGAUACUAUGAUAAACAUUAAGUCACCCUUUGCUUACCUUGAUAAGUCCAGGUUAGUGAGCCGGUUAACCACACACGCUCCACUAACGACUUAAUCAAAGUGCAAAGUGUAAUUUCAUGGAUUAGCACCUUAUUCACAUUUUCCUAAAGUAACUAAGAUUGGGAAUUUAAUAAGGUUUAGUUACUUUAGUAUAUUCAUCAUACUUAAAUGAGAAUUAUAUUCAUUAUACUACCUUUUCGGCUAAUGACCCUCCACCGAUCAAGGAAGCGGUGAGUGAGAAUGGACACCCAUUAAGUUGCCAUUCUAUAGGCAACAACCUUAUACCCCCCCNACAACCUUAUACCCCUUAUAGACUGGCUUCGUGAAUGAGGCCUACUAAUGGUAAGACGACUUUGCUCUUAUAUGAGAAAGUAUAAGGGUUGAAUUUUAAUAAUUAAAAUUCUAAGGGUUGGAAAUAAAGUUUUAAUAUGACUUUACUUGUUCCAAAUCUUGAGGGAAAGUUUUGUAAACUUUCAAAACUUUACAUUUCUCAUAACUUAUGAGUUAAUUGAGUAUUAAAAGGAAGACUCUUCAUUUUUAUAACUCAUGUGUUCUUAUAAUGGUUUUUAAUUAAAGUGUGACCUUUGGUUUUCCAUAACUUGAGGACAAGUUAUGAACUCCUUUCAAACACAUAAUGAUCAAGAAUUAAACUACCAAGGAGGUUACAAACAAUUCCUAUGAUCAUCUAAUCUCAUAAGUUCAAGAACAUGAUUGUCAAUAAUUUCAAGAAUCAUAAAUAAGAUAUAUAAAACUUGUAAUUUUUGAUAAUAGCCAUUGUAAAUGGAUUAGCAUAAACAUUACACCAUCAAAAACAAGUUUUAUAACACCAAAACAGUUUAGGGUAAUGUUUUUAGUCCAUUCCCAGCAGCAAAACUCAAAAAUUUGGACACUACAGCCUCUACUCGUCGAGUGCAUGAACAGACUCGACGAGUAGCAUGCAUUUCUUCAUGGAAUCGUCGAGUCCCCCCAUGGACUCGGCGAGUUCAUACGUGCACUGAACAAAAAACUUCAAUUUUCAAGUACUUUGCAUCAAGUAUCAAUUAAACAAGCCUACGCUUUGAUACCACUGAUGGGUUUUGAGCAUUCUAACACUCCUAUGGUGUACAUACAACCCUAGAAACCUUGUAUCUAUGUUUGACUAAGAUACAUGCAAAUAAUCAUUUUUCCAAGGAACUUAUCCUAACUAGCAUGGCAUGGGGUAAUUGAAUCAAAUAAAGCAAGUAGAAUUACUUACCUUGUAGUUGUAGUUGAUUUCUUGGAGUUUGAGAGCCUAGCACCAAUAAUGUGGAUGCCUCAAAUGGAAGUCACAAAUCACCACAAACUUGGAAACUUGAGAGAAUAGUCACAACCUUUCUUGAAAUCGGCCCUCUUAGUAUACUCACCACAACUAGUGUGAUUUCAAGAACUAAAGCCCCCUUUAUAUAGUGUGGUGGAUUAGGGUUACAUCCAUGUAAACCCUAAUACCCAUGUCUUUUCAUUUCCAUGAGAUCCAUGGGUUAAAGCUCCAUGGAGUAUCCAUGGACUUUCCAUGAAAGCCUAGCCCAUUCCAAAUAAGCAUUAGCCCACACUACAUAAAUACAAUAGCCCAUAUUUAAUUAGUCAUACUUUUGAUCUCUAAAUUAAUUCUAAAUUAUUUAUAGAUCAAUACUAAUUGAAUAAUAUGAUUUUAUAUUAAUAUAUUAGAACAUUUAAUAUUUCAAUAAAUCAUAACUUAUACAAUUGUCAAAAGAUUAUCCAUAAAUUGUUUGGGUGAAGUGCAACCCAAAUGGACCAUGCCGGGUCGGGUCAAGUACAUACCAAAUAUAGUUAUGGACUUAGAUACUAUAUCCAACAGGAAGUUCGUGCUCCGAACUUCAGAAAUUCAUAUCUCUCGCAUACGAGCUCCAUUUUCAACGUUCUUUAUAUCCACGUGUAGGUGAGAUAAUGCUCUACAACUUUCAUCUAGACUCUGUCGGCUAAUUUUGGCUUUAUUUUUAUUAUAUUAUUUUUACUAGGCUGGGACAAGAAAACUCCGUUAUUAAUUCAUAACUCCUUCAUCUGACCUCCGUUUGCGUCUGUCUUUUUACCAUUGAACUACUAUCGACGAAUCUUAGGCUCUCAUUUAGAUUGUUUCAGUUAUAAAUCACUCAAUCUCAUAUUCGCACUUUGGGCUGCAUAUUGUUAAGCUGAAACUUAGAAAAAUCAUUACUUCCCUAUACGAAGCCAGAUAUAGAUGUUCUUUUUAUUCACACUCUCGGUUUAAUGUAUUCUAUGAAUUUCGUUUAGAUCACGAAGGCUAUUUAUCGCUCUAUCUUAAUUUCAAUAUUUACGUCGCGCUGCGACGUGCCUUUUCUGUCGCGAAACUUCGACAGGUCAUAACUUCUUCGUUAUAAAUCGGAUUUCGGCAAUCUUUAUAUAUUCGGAAUCCUUGUCACGGCCACUACAACUUAGUUAAGAUUAUUCAUUCUAAAUAAUAUUUUAUCAAAAAGUAACUUUUGAUACUUAUCGUCUCUAAAUUGACUAGCCCGGAACUACGGGCAUUACAAAGCACCACCUUCAUUUAUCGUCUCUGGUGGCGUGUUUCCGACGACUCUUUUGUGAUUUUUUCUCACAUUUGUUUGGAUCUGAAUGAUUCAGUGGUUUUUCUUCAUAUCUGAUGGUGUUCGUAGUCUAGAUCUUUUCAGAUCUAUAAUCUCCGCCUUCUAAUGUAUAACGUACACCUUCAAAUCUAUCAUCAUCACCUAACCGCUGCCUCUUGCCAUCGUUUUCAAUCUUACCACCACCGAUUGUCGCCUUCACCGACCGUCACCUUCAAAGCUAUAACAUCCACCUUCAGAUCUAGCCAAACCUACGAUAUUCUCUUCCAUAUCUAAGAUAUUUUCCCUCUGAUCUAGUUCACCUCCACUCUCUACCAUUAGAUUUGUGCAAAUCAGGUCAGAUUUUAUGUGUUUUGCGAUUACAGAUUUGAUGUGUGUUAGAUCAGGUUCAAAAUUCAGAUCUGAAGCAAGUUUAUAAUAUGAAAAAAGACGAAAAUAUACCACUGCCACAUUUAGAACUUAAAACAGAAUGCAAGAUGAGCAUUUUGAAUCGUCCUGUUUUUUCUGUUACUUCCAGGAUACUUGAAGCUGCCCUUGCCACUAGUCUGUAACUCUUUCAAAUCAGGAAAUCUAAAAUGAGCAAGCUUGGGCUUGAAUGUUUGUGGUGGUACAGCUAUUGCCCCAUGAGCCCAUAAUGUCUUUAAUAAAUCUCCAAAUGCCAUUCCAAUCUCACCAUGUCAUUAUACCCAUAGGCCAUAGCCAUAAAAAUAUCAAUAAUCUUCUACUUGUUUGUUUGCUGCUUAAGUAUUCUUGCAGAAAUACCAAUGAACAAAACCAAUCAUUUAUAUAGGACAUUUAGGGCUAAUUUCAUUAAUGAUGACCAACACCAACUAAUCUGUUAUGGAGUACAAGAAGAGCAGACAUCAAAACAAACAAAUUACAAAACCAUAUAAGUAGGGUAAAUUCAAUUUCAUUCUUACUUUUUUCUUUCAUGUAUAUGGCGUACAAGAAGGGCAACACCAAAUGCCCCCUUUCCAAUUUACUCAAGCACUUCGUAUUGAUCCAUGUAGAUUGCAAUGCAUUUCACUCUGUCAUAUCUACACUGUUAUAAAACCAUUUAAAUAUGCAAUAUCUUAAAAACUUGUUGUGAGGUUCAAUAUAAAGAUCAAAUCAUGAAAAUACUUUGAAACAACACAUCCACCAUGAACAUGCUGCAAGAAUUUUUUUUUAAAUAAUAAAAUUGUUGAGCAGAAAAAAUCAAGUUCUUAAAGAUUUCAAGAAUGUUAGAUUUGAGAUUAAUCCACCAGCCGGGUUUGUUCAGGUGGAAUAUUUCACAAUAUGUUACUUUAUCAGAUAGAAUCACAACCAAAAAACUAAAAGACAUCAUCAUUACUAGCAAGUUCAUGCGGCUUCCUUGAUCAAAUAAGCAUUAAUAUGCAUCAACUGAAAACACAAACAAACCUAAUCUGUCCAAAAGAUGAACCGAUGAAAGAGAUGAGAAUAAAACCUCGAAUUUUGGUACAGUGCACACAAAUCUACCACCAAGUGAUUAUAGAAAUUGAUUUUAGGGAAAACAUUCUUCAAAUUACCUGCUCUAUAAAUGAAAAAAAAACCCUAAUAUAGUGUAAGAAAACCUUGAGCAGCCUAAUUCGAUUGUAGUCUUUAUUUUUUCCAAUUGACUCUCACACAAUAGGUACGUGAAUGUGUAUCUGGUGGUAUCUCUCCAAUCUACCUUUCCUAAAUUCUACCAUUGCCUCUUUGUGCGUGAAGACCCGCAAAUCCAUAAAUGGUGCCCUAAGAUUGGAGAGAUACCACCUUGAAUCGACAUAUGACGUGAUUCUCUCAUCUGUAUGAACUCAAAAAUAAACAAACAUUACCUCUGUUUUACAUUUUCGAAACCCAACAUUGUGGAUUCGUCAUUGGAGAGGAGUGAGGCCUGAAUCGCUUGUACCAAAAACCCUAAGUCGUCGGUGUCUUAGUCGAUAACAUGUGCCAAAAAAACACUAAAUCCCUAUGAGAGAGGAGUGAGGCCUGAAUCGCUUUCAUUGAGAUGGGAUAUCUUGAAGCGAAGACGUAUAACAGUAUGAUAGGGCGGGGAUACUUUACUCAUGCGGCACAACCGGACGAAUAAGGGAGGUCGAGCUAACCUACAGGAAAUCGAUUGAAGUUCAUGCCCUCGAACCUUGCAGUUUUCGUAAAAAAACACAUAAAAGUAUUGGGAUAACAAUAUACGUAUAGUUGUUGGUCGCCAUUUUGUGAUCUUUAGGAAUCAACGCGAGUUUUUAAGAAAAAAAUUAUAGAAUGGUUAUAUGAGUUGUCGAGGUGUAUAGCAGAGAUGUAUCGUGACUAGGGUUUGCUGAGAGAAGGGAAGAAGAGAACGAAGGGAGAUCUUAAGCGGGGUAUUUAAAAAUUUUAGAAUUUUAAGAGAAUUUCAUUUCCCACUUUUAAGAAACACGCCUUUUGAGUAAAAACAUAAAGCGACACUGAGAGAGGACGCACAUUUUACAUAAAGUUCCCUCCGUGUUUUUAAUUUUUUUCACAUCAGACACUAAUUUAAGGGCACGCAAUAAUGCAUGACCUAAAUCCUUCAAUAUUUUGAAGAGAUGACGCUUUUUUAAUGUCACUCUCUUUUGCGUAACAUAAAUCAAUGAGUGUCAUGGUUUGCGCGUCAUAAAAGGGUCUUUUUCUUGUAGUGUUUGCUAUAAUUAAGGGAGAAGAUAUACUUCAUUUCAAUUCUAAAAGCUUAGAUUAAGGUUUUAAUCAUUUUUAGUCAAGGAUAUAUAUAUAUAUAUGAAUAUUAUGUUGGAAUGGCUCAACAUAAGGAAAAUCUAUAUAUGGGUCUGUUAUUUGCGUUCUAAAAUUCGAUUAUGAUUACAACAUCCGUUUUCAUAAUCUAAAAUUGUGAGAACAUGGAAAAUAGAAAUAUUGUAGCAAAAGGACUGGUCUAGUAUCAUGUCUUUAUGUGAGACAUCAUGAAUCGUGUCCCAUAUGCUUCAAAUAUAGGAUCGAUUGCAUGUGCUAUAAUAUUCAUCCUUUCUAAAAUUUUCCAAAUGCCUGGGGCAUUAAGAAGAGAAAAGAUCUAGAAUUGGAUAUGACUAAAAGAUUAAGCAAUUGUCGAGGAAAUUCUAAGGUUAACCAAGGAUUGGUUGCUCUGGGACAGUUGGAAGUAUGGUGUUAAUUUUGGAAGGACCAUAUUGACAUAUUCUGAAAAGAGGCAACUCUUGUUCAAGAGUGAUAGUCAAAAUGGGAAUAUGGAGUUGUUCCCACAAGUGGAAGAUAUUCAUCAAAUAUAUGUAAGAUUAGGAAACUUAAUGCAUGAAGGAUGUUCAAAGCAAUGUACUUUGAAUUUGAAACUUCGUUUCCAUGGAAUGAUCUCCAAUGGAAUACUCUAUAAUGUCUGUUCACGAUUCUUUGUGACUUUUUUCAUAAUCAUUACAAGAGGAUCAAUGCAUAUAAGUUUAGAAUCUAAUAGAUUUAGGUAAAGGAGGAAAUUUGGAAUUCUUGCAUUUACGGUAAGGAUUUGGGACUAUGAAAUGAGAAACAUUGGAAUUAUGUUCAAUCGACCUAUUUCACAAUGUAAAGAUCAUAGACAAACUUAGUAUGCAUACUUGGUGUAUGGCAUGACUAGUGUUUAGAAAAAACAUAGUGUACAUGCUUGGAGCAUGGGACAACUAUUGUUUUAAUUCAAGUAUAAAGUUGAUAGUUUGCAACAAUAUGUAAUGAAUGAUGAGUAAUCAAUAUCGUGAUAAAUAAAAGAUGUUUUAUUUAUAUUCAUAAGUUAUGAGACCAUAUUGGAUUUGAUUAUUCUUGUGUUUCACUUUGCAUGUUUUGACUUCCAGAAUAACUAGGCCGUUCUUCCUGAAUGACUAAGUUACUCAAACUAUCCACAGUCGGUCAUAUGUUGGAAGUAGAUAUGAAUCAAGACUGUCAUGGGUUGGCUUGUAGGGGUCUAAGAUGUUGGAAAAAGUGGUGCUACAACACUCAUGAGUGCUCAUAAGUUCUGAGUAUUGGAUUCAACCCGCGCUCAUUGGAAUCACUUCAUGAAUUUUAUCACGAGUGAUCAAGAGACGAUAAUAUCUUAUAUUCUUCAAACCUAGAGAUAUGAGUUGUUACUAUGAGUUGGUUGUACAUUGAUUGCACGAAAACGCAUUCGGUAACUCGAUGUUAUAAAACGUGCCUUUGUGUAUGAUUCAACAAGUAGUAGAACAAGCCAUAUGAGUUGAAGUUUAUCCAUUCCUUUUACCUUCGGGAUAAAAGUGAUAUCUGUGGGCCCCUCAAUGAUUUAAUGAUGACACAUGUGAGUGCUUGGCCAAGCCAGGACUGAUUUGAUUUGUUCAAUCAGUCAGUCAUCAUGAAUCAGAAAUCCGAAAACAACAAAUGGACAGAGAGAAUGAUGUAACUGUUGGAUAAGGUGUCUAAGUCCAUAACUAUUUAUGGUAUGUACUUGACCCGACCCGGCAUGGUCCAUUUGGGUUGCAUGGCACCAUGCAAUUGGAUAAACUAAAAUGAGAGAAAUAACACUUGUGGUUUAUUAAUAUAUUAUAAGUUCUAAUAUAUUAAUAAUAUUAUUUAAUUAGUUUGAUCAAGAAUUAAUUUAGAAUUAAUUAAGUGAUCAAAAGAUAACUAAUUAAAUAUAUGGGUUUAUUAUGUAAAUCAUACAUAACUUGUAUAGUGGGCUAAGAGGCUCCAUGGAUUAUCAAGUUGGGUUAAACCCAUAGGAUGCUCCAUGGGAGUUACAAACCCAUGGGUCAUGGAAAUGAAGAUCCAUGACACAUUAGGGUUUACAUGGUGUAACCCUAGAUGUGUCACACUAUGUAAAGACCAUCUCCUCCACCAAAAUUGGCUACACUAAGAAACAACAGGGCUAGAGCUGAUUUUGCAAGUGUAAGAUUCUCUCAAAGUUUACUCCUUUGCAUUUGGUGUUGUGUGAAGCAUUUGAGGCAUCACACUUGGGGUGCUAGGCUCACAAGGUUUCAAGGAUCAUAAACAACAACAAGGUAAGUUAUUCUAUCUUUCAUUCAAGUUAAAAAAAAAUGUUCCCCAUGUAUGCUAGAUAGGAAUAUAACCUUGGAAUUCAACUUUGCAUGAUAUUUAGACAAACAUAGAUCCAAGGUUAUUAGAGUUGCAUGUACACUUAGGAAGUGUUAGAAUGCUCAAAACACAUCAGUGGUAUCAGAGACUAGGCUUGUUUGUUGAUUUUUUUUUUGUGCAAACUUCUUGAAAAAAUCGUUUUUCUGUUUUCUGCUCGUAUGAACUCGCCGAGUCCAUGGAGGGACUCGACGAGUCCAUGUACAAAUGCAAGCUACUCGUCGAGUAUGUUCUUGCACUCGACGAGUAGAGGCUGCGGUUUUUAGAAUUUCGACAUUUGUUGCUAGAAAUGGACUAGAAACAUUACCCAAAACUAUUUUGGUGUUUUAAAACUUGUUUUAGAUGGUGUAAUGUUUAUGCUAAUCCAUUUACAAUGGCAAUUAUCAAAAUUACAAGUUUUCAAGUGUAACUUUUGUUUCUUGAAAGUGUUCAUAUUCAUGUUCUUAAACUUAUGAAGAUUAGAUAAUCAUAGGAAUUGCUUGUAACCUUCAUGGUAGUUUAAUUCAUGAUCAUAAUGUGUUUUAAUGGUGUCCAUAACUUGUCCUCAAGUUAUAGAAAAACCAAAAGUCACACAUUUAUUAAAGCCACUAAAAGAACACAAGAGUUAUAAAAAAUGAAGAGUCUUCAUUUUUAUUACUCAAUUAAUUCAUAAGUUAUAAGAAAUUAAUGAAAUGUAUUGAAAGCNAGUUAUGGAAAACCAAAAGUCUCUUGGAUUAAAAACCAUUAAAAGAACACAAGAGUUAGGAAAAAUGAAAAGUCCUCAUUUUAUUACUCUAUUAAACUCAUAAGUUACAAGAAAUGAAAAGUUUUGAAAGUUUACAAAACUUGCCCUCAAGUUUUGGAACAAGUAAAGUUAAGUUAAAACUUUAGUUCCAACCCCUAGAAUUUUAAAAGUUAAAAUUCAACCCUUAUACUUAUAUUAUUAUGAUUUAAUAAUUAUAUAUAUAUGUAUAAGAACAAAGUCGUCUUACCGCUAGUACGCCUCAUUCACGAAGCCGGUCUAUAAGGUGGGUAUAAGGUUGUUGCCUAUAAAAUGGUGACUUAAUGGGUGUCCACUCUCACCCACCGCUUCCUUGAUCGGUGGAGGGUCGUUAGCCGAACGGGUAGGAGAAAGACUUAUAAUUUCUCAUUAAAAGUAUGAUGAAUAUUAUAAAGUAACUAAAUGUUUUAUUAAAUUCCCAAUCUUAGUUACUUUAGGAAAAAUGUGAAUAAGGUGCUAUUCCAUGAAAUUACACUUUACACUUUGAUUAAGUCGUUGGUGGAGCGUGUGUGGUUAACCGGCACACUAACUUGGACUUAACAAGGUAGGUAAAGGGUGACUUAGGGUUUAUUAUAGUAUCGAUGGAGCGUGUGUGGUUAACCGGCACAUCGAUUGAGUGAUAAACUUUAAGGGUACCAAGUGAUUUGCAUGGUUACUUCACACCUCGUUUUGUGAUCCUCGGUAUCCCAGUCACAAAACUUGGAGGGCACACUCGAGAUUGAAACAUGCCUUUGAAAAGUUCAUUGAAUCUCAAAGAAUCUAGGAAUUUCUAAGAACCAUUCAAAAACCUAAUACUAAAAUAUUGCGGUUUUCGUGGUGGAAAUUGGUGAAUCGUCAUUCACCUACCUUUCAAAUAUGAUAUAGCUUAGAUUACGGCAUACCUCUUCUAAGUUAUAUUAUAUUGUGAUUGGAUCCUAGCCUUAAUAUUACAUUUGGGUGUUUUAUUAAGGACUCUCUUAUAUCUAAACUAAUCUUGUCCUCUUUCCUUCAGAUGUCUUUCAACAAUGCUUCUGGCUCUAAUCCUAAUGGCUCCUUUACCCUUAUGAACUUGUGUGGGAAAGUCACCUUUGAUGGAUCCAACUUCAAUGAGUGGAUCAGAAACAUCAGGAUGAUUACCCGCUACGAGGACAAAGAAUAUGUCCUUGACAAGGAGCUUAAGGAGAUUGAUGAGUCCACUGCAACUCCUCAGGAGAUCGCUGAAUUUCGGGCACAUGAAAGGGAUGCUACGAAAGUGGCUUGCAUCAUGAUGGCCACGAUGACAGCGGAACUCCAAAAGUCUUAUGAGGAUUUCUACCCUUAUGACAUGCACCAAGAUUUGAUGGAAAGAUACCAUCAAAGUGCAAGACAAGAGAGGUAUGAAAUCAUCUGCUCCAUGAUAACAACCAUGAUGAAGGACGGGGAAUCCGUCACGAGCCACAUGCAGAAAAUGCAAAGGUAUGUGGAUCGUUUGCUGAAGCUUAAUGUGAACUUCCCGGAGGAUCUUGCAAUAGAUAUUAUUUUGCAUUCCUUACCAUCGUGCUAUGAUCAAUUCCGCAUGACAUAUCACAUGAACAAGGAAGAAGUCACCCUCAGCAAACUUCAGGGACUUCUCAAGACCGCAGAAACAGGUCUUAAGGGGAAGUCGGUUGCUAUCACUCCUACUCAAAACUCUACUCCGGUUUUGGCAAUCGGGAAAAGUCGAGGGAGGAAGAGAAAGAGCUCUUCUAAGGGUACCAAGGCUCGGACCCUUGAUGGCUCUUCUUCAAGUGGAACCAAGAAAGGUUUCGUUACUCCUUCUUCUGACCCAAAAGAGGCUGAAUGCUUCUAUUGCCAUGAAAAAGCUCAUUGGAAGCGGAACUGCCCAAAAUACCAGCAAGAUGUGAAGGAUGGGAAAGUUAAACCCAACCAUGCAGGUAUUUACACUAUCAUUUCUAAUAACUCACCCCAUUCUAAUUCUUGGGUCCUUGAUACCGGGUGUGGUAUUCACAUUUGUUGUGACUUGCAGGGACUAAGAAGAAGUGAGGAUGUGGAGCAAGGAAGGAUAAACUUGAUCAUGGGGAAUAGGAAAGCUAUACCUGUUACCAAGAUUGGAGUUUAUACUUUAUCGCUAAGUAGUGGGUUUAGUUUAGAUUUGAAUAAGUGUUGUUAUUCGCCAGGAAUGGCAAGAAAUAUUAUUUCCUUUCAUGCUUUGUACAAACAAGGGUUUACCUUUUCAUUUAAUAAUGAAGUUGGUUCUAUAGAUGUUUUCUAUAAUAAUGUCUUUUAUUUUAAAGCAUUACCUUGUGAUGGUGUGUAUGAAGCUGUAUCUGUUGUAGAUAACUUGGGAAAUAAUGUUUUGUGUAUUGAUUCUACUAAUAAUAACUUGGAUAAAGCAUCUUUAUGGCAUUGUCGUCUUGGACAUAUAAGCAAGAAACGCAUAGGCCAACUCCAAAAGGAUGGAGUCUUGGAGUCGUUUGACCUAAAGUCAGAUGAUAGUUGCGAAUCAUGCUUACUUGGAAAAAUGACAAAGUCACCCUUCACAGGUUCGUGUGAGAGGGGUGAAGGUUUGUUGGACCUUAUACACACGGAUGUGUGUGGACCAUUCAAACAUGCCACAAGGGAUGCUAAUCGUUAUUAUUUGACUUUUACUGAUGAUUAUAGUAGAUAUGGAUAUGUCUACUUGAUCAAGCAUAAGUCAGAGACUUUCGAGAGGUUUAAGGAAUUUAAACAGGAAGUCGAGAAUCAAUUGGGCAGGAACAUUAAGAUGCUUCGAUCCGAUCGUGGUGGUGAGUAUCUUAGUUCAGAGUUCCUCGACUAUCUAAGGGAAUGUGGGAUAGUCUCACAAUUGACACCUCCCAGGACACCACAGUUGAAUGGUGUGGCUGAGAGGCGUAAUCGAACCUUGUUGGAUAUGGUUCGUUCCAUGAUGAGUCGAGCUUCGCUACCAAUCUCAUUCUGGGGGUAUGCCUUAGAGACUGCCGCCCAUAUCCUUAAUCUAGUCCCUACAAAGAAAGUUGCCAAAACUCCUCACGAGAUGUGGACUGGUAAAGUACCUAAACUAGACCACAUCAAGAUUUGGGGUUGCGAGGCUUUCGUGAGACGCGAGACUCAUGAUAAGCUCGAACCCCGAAGCGAGAGGUGUAUUUUCAUCGGCUACCCACAACAAUCCUUUGGUUACCUCUUCUACAGACCUAGUGAAAAUGUGGUCUUUGUAGCUAGGAGGGCUUUCUUUAGAGAGAGAGAGUUCAUAAGCCAAGGAAACAGUGGGAGGCAAGUUGAUCUUGAAGAAAUUCAAGAGUCAAGCGGUGAAGGAACUUCAAACCCUAGCACUCAACUUGAGGAGGAAACUCCUGUUGAGCCAAUUGACAAGUCUGUACCUCUGAGGCGGUCCACAAGGGUUAGGAAUGCUCCUGAGCAUUACUAUGGAUUCCACAUUACUGCAGAAGGUGAUACACUUAUCAGUGAUGAGACACUGAUAGGUCUGGAUGAACCUAACAGUUAUGCGGAAGCCAUGGCAGGCCCUGAGUCAGCCAAGUGGAAAGAGGCAAUGGACAGCGAGAUACAGUCCAUGUAUGACAAUCAAGUUUGGAACUUGGUUGACAAUGUCCCUGAUCGUAAGACAGUUGGGUGCAAAUGGAUCUUCAAGAAGAAGACCGACAUGGAUGGUAACGUACAUAGUUACAAGGCACGACUAGUUGCAAAGGGUUAUUCUCAAACUCUAGGAGUUGAUUAUGAUGAGACCUUUUCACCAGUGGCCAAGAUUAAGUCUAUUAGGGUUCUGUUAGCCAUUGCUGCAAUUCAUGACUAUGAAAUAUGGCAAAUGGAUGUCAAAGUCGCUUUCCUUAAUGGAAAGUUGGCUGAAGAUGUUUACAUGGUUCAACCAGAGGUUUUUGUCAGUACAGAGUACCCUAAUAGAGUGUGUAAGUUUGAGAAAUCCAUCUAUGGAUUAAAACAAGCACCUCGUAGAUGGAAUCUUUGUUUCGAUGAGAAAGUCAAAGAUUUUGGCUUUUCGAGAUGCGAAGAUGAACCUUGUGUAUAUGUCAAGGCUAGUGGGAGUAUAGUUAGCUUUUUGGUAUUGUAUGUGGAUGACAUACUACUCAUAGGAAAUGACAUCCUAACUCUGCAGGAAGUUAAGUCCUGGCUUGGGAAGUGUUUCUCUAUGAAGGACCUAGAAGAAGUUGCCUAUAUUCUAGGGAUAAGGAUCUUGAGAGACCGGAGUAAAAGACUAAUUGGAGUUAGUCAGAGUACCUACUUGGAUACGGUGUUGAAGAGAUUCGGCAUGCAGGACUCCAAGAAAGAAGAGUUACCCAUCCAGAAUAACGCUAGAUUGAGUAAGACACAAAGCCCUAGUAUUGAGGCUGAGAUAGCAGAAAUGAGUCGAAUACCUUAUGCUUCGGCUGUAGGAUCGAUCAUGUAUGAUAUGACGUGUACUUGACCUGAUGUAGCCUUUGCCUUGAGCAUGGUUAUCAGGUAUCAGGGGAGCCUUAGCAAGGCACACUGGACUGCGGUAAAGAAUAUCCUCAAGUACCUACGGAGGACUAAGGACUGGGUUCUGGCGUUACUGAUAGGGAUGACUUGAGAGUUGUAGGGUAUAGUGACACUAGCUUUCAGACUGAUAGGGAUAAUUUCCGCUCUUAGUCAGCCUGGGUCUUUACCUUAAACGGGGGAGCAAUUUCUUGGAAGAGUUCCAAGCAAGAGAUAGUGGCUGAUUCAACUUGCGAAUNGGGAGAGCCAGACACAUCGACAUAAAAUACCAUUUCAUCAGACAUCGGAUAGAAGAAGGAGUCCUCGUGGCAAAGAGGGUAUCAUCGGAUGAGAAUCCAGCAGAUCCCCUCACGAAGGGACUUACUCGGGUUAAGCAUCUCCAGCAUACUCGGAGCAUAGGGCUGAAGGAUGAUAUUAGAUUUAGUAGUUAGAUAACCUUGAAAUUGUAAAGUGUAAUUGACAUUAGAUGAUGAAUACAAGGUGUUUUAUUUAUGAGUAAAGUGUUGCUAUCUAUUAUCGAUCGUUUACUAUAUUUCUUUUGCAUGUUUUGACUUCCAGAAUAAUUAUGUGUGGUAUAUCAUAUUAUUCGAACCUCCACAGUCGGUCAUAUGUCGGAAGUAGGUAUGAAUCAAGACUGUCAUGAUUGGUUGCAGAGGUCUAAGUUGUUGGACAUGGCUACAACAAUCAUGAGUGCUCAUAAGUUCUGAGCAUUGGACUCAACCCACGCUCACUGGAAUCACUUCAUGGAAUUUAUUCUCGAGUGAUCGUGAGACGGUAAUAUCAUAUAAGUCUUCAAACCUAGAGAUAUGAUUUGUUACUUACGAGUUGGUUAUGCAUUGAUUGUACGAAAACGCAUUGGUAACUCGAUGUUAUAAAACGUGCUUUUGUGUGUAAUUCAAUGAGUGGUAGAACAAACAUAUGAGUCGAAGUUUAUCUGUUCCUUCUUGGAUUAGAAGCUGAUAUAUGGGCCACUCGAUGAUUUUGUUUUGACCUAUGUACCGGGCCCGGUCAGAACUAAGUUGAUGUGUUCAAUUAAGUUCUUUGUCAAACAAAUCGGAAAUCGGGAAACAAACUGCUGGACAAUAAGUAAGACAUUGUUCCAUGUAUUUGUCCGGCUGAUAUCUAGAACAGAGGAUUAUAUGAUCACUUAUCUUAAAUGGCGUAUCAUCAUCUUCUCAGUUCCGAGAGACCUUGAAAGAGCUACGAUUGCCGGUCGGUUCCUGAAGUACUAGAGAUAUAGUUAUUAGACUUAUCCAAGUGGGAGACUGUUGGAUAAGGUGUCUAAGUCCAUAACUAUUUCGGGCUUGUACUUGACCCGACCCGGCAUGGUCCAUUUGGGUUGCAUGGCACCAUGCAAUUGGAUAGACUAAAUGAGAGAAAUAACACUUGGAGAUUAUUAAUAUAUUAUAAGUUCUAAUAUAUUAAUAAUAUUAUUUGAUUAGUUGAUCAAAGAAUUAAUUUGGAAUUAAUUAAGUGAUCAAAGGAUAACUAAUUAAAUAUAUGGGUUGAUUAUGUAAAUCAUCCAUAACUUGUAUAGUGGGCUAAGAGGCUCCAUGGAUUAUCAAGUUGGGUUAAACCCAUAGGAUGCUCCAUGGGAGUUACAAACCCAUGGGUCAUGGAAAUGAAGAUCCAUGAAACAUUAUGGUUUACAUGGUGUAACCCUAGAUGUGUCACACUAUAUAAUGACCAUCUCCUCCACCAAAAUCGGCUACACUAAGAAACAAGAGGGCUAGAGCCGAUUUUGCAAGUUUAAGAUUCUCUCAAAGUUUACUCCUUUGCAUUUGGUGUUGUGUGAAGCAUUUGAGGCAUCACACUUGGGGUGAUAGGCUCACAAGGUUUCAAGGAUCAUAAAAAACAACAAGGUAUGUUAUUCUAUCUUUCAUUCAAGUUAAAAAAAAAUGUUCCCCAUGUAUGCUAGAUAGGAAUAUAACCUUGGAAUUCAACUUUGCAUGAUAUUUAGACAAACAUAGAUCCAAGGUUAUUAGGGUUGCAUGUACACUUAGGAAGUGUUAGAAUGCUCAAAACCCAUCAUUAUAAUCCAUGUCUCAGUCCAUAUGAUAUCUAGAAUGGAGGAAUAUAUGAUCCUUUAUCUAAUGGACAAGACAUUGACAAAGGUCAGAGUUCAUAGACAAGGUCAGAGUUCGACAGCGGCUUUUGAGAGCUACAAUUGUCAGUUAGGUUUUGAAGUCAUAUUCAAUAAUAUUUUUAGACUUAUCCAAGUGGGAGACUGUUAGAUUAGUGUCUAAGUCCAUAACUAUAUUUGGUAUGUACUUGACCCGACUCGGCAUGGUCCAUUUGGGUUGCAUGGCAUCAUGCAUGUGGAUAGACUAAAAUGAGAGAAAUAACACUUAAGGUUUGGUAAUAUAUUAUAAGUUCUAAUAUAUUAAUAAGAUUAUUUAAUUAGUAUUGAUCAAGAAUUAAUUUGGAAAUUAAAUAAGUGAUCAAAAGGAGACUAAUUAAAUAUAUGGGUUGAUUGUGUAGAUCAUCCAUACUUGUAUAGUGGGCUAAUGCUCCAUGGAUUAUCAAGUUGGGCUAAAACCCAUAGGAUGCUCCAUGGUGUUUUUGUACCCAUGGAUCAUGGAAAUGAAAGGCCAUGACAAUUAGGGUUUACAUGGUGUAACCCUAAUUGUGACACACUAUAUACGCAUCUUAUUCUUGUCAAAAUCGGCCACCAUGAGAGACUAUGAAGGAAUGGUGAAGGCUAGCUGGUUUCAUGAAGUGUAUCAUUUCUCUCUAAGUUAUUCCAUUUGCAUUUUAUGUUGUGUGAACCAUUUGAGGUGUCACAUUUGGGGCACUAGACUCUCGAGCUUCAUGGAGUUAAGCUACAUCAAAAAGGUAUGUAUUUCAAUCUUAUUUAUUAUUCAAGUAUCAAAAGAUUGUAUGUUAGUUAGGGUAAUACCUUGGAAUAUUCAUAUUUGCAUGUAUAAUAGAGAAAACAUAGAUCCAAGGUAUUUAGGGUUGCAUGUACACUUAGGAGUGUUAGAAUGCUCAAAACCCAACAUUAACCAGUGAAUGCUUGGUUUGUCAAUUGCUUCGGUUAGAAUUCGCUCAAUGUACCAAGGAGGAAAUAAUAACUUUUUAGCUUCUAGAGCAGUCUGAGCAUCACGAAGCACUUUCUCUUUUUUUUCGCUUCUCUAACGACGCGAUUGUGUUCAUCAAUCUGAGCUUCACGAGGUGUGAAACUUUAUAUUGUCAUUUUAAUGUCAGUGCGAACAUUCUAUAGAGCAUCCUUCUCAGUCCGAAGGGUAGAACCAAGAUUGGUUGUGUCUGCAUUCUCCUUUGUAGUGUUCGUCAUCAACCGCCUUGUUUGUUUUGUCAUGGUUCGCAGUGUGUUCUUUCGUGGUUGAAGUAAGGUAUCCAACUUCUCAUUGAUGGCCUUGAGUUUCUCUUUUGUAAAUGGAGCAUCAACAUCACUAUCUUCUUGAACUAUAAAGGGGCUAUAAACAAAGGCUUCAAAAUCUUCAUCACCCCCGAAAACGGUAUCCAGAUCAUCUUGUCGGAGAGGUGAGAUAGGAAUAGUACCUUGACCAAGAGCGAAACCUAAAGAACUUGCCCCCGUAUCAGAUGUGUUGACAGAAACUGGAGGUUCACUAGUGGCAAUGGUUGUUGUUGCUGUAGAAUCAGUGAAUAAAGGAGUAGAUUAUGCAACGGUGGCUUGUGGUUACGAUACUCCCAUAGAGAAAGUUGGAAAUGGUGUGAAAGUGAUUGGCAUCGUAGUAGUAAUUAGAGAGUGUGGAAGAGUAGGUUGUUGAAAGAAUUCAUCAGUGAGGGGAACAAAUUCAAACAUUGAACAAGUUACCUCAGGAUUAGUAGGUAUUGGCUCUGAAACUUGGGGUUGCGAAGUCGUAGCGGUGUCAUCUUGUUCAUGUUGUUCAAUGUGAAUCUCAAAGAUAGUAUUAGAUUGCGAAUCCUCCUAAUUACUUGGGGUAGGAGUAUGUGGCUUGUGAGCAACUCGCUUCACUUUCUUCAUUGGAGUCUAGGCAGGUUCAGAUGGACCAACCUUCCCUUUUCGUUUACACCCUUUCUUUGUCUUAUCAGCCUCGUCAAGAACUUUGCGAAUUUCGUUAGUCAUUGGUCUUCGACUAGAAGCUGGUAGACUGAAAUAAGUGUGAAGAACUUCACUCGCAGCUAGAAUGUUGCGAAGCAUUAUUUUGGGAUUGAUCCGAUGAAAGUGAGUCGGAAAGUGUCUGACAGAAUGAUGUUGGUGGUGUGGAAAACUUGAAUGUUGUCCAUAAUCAAACCCUCAAUAAUUGGAAUGUUAAGGCGAUCGAUACCCCUCUGUAUAACGAGAGUCCAGAAACAAGCACAUGAGAUCUCAUUGUGCCUAGUUGUGGAUAUUGUACUCCGAACGAGUUGAGCCCAAAGCACCGAUCCGUAGUGAAGAUUGAGUCUUGAGUACACACCAUACAGGAUUGUCAUGAAUAACUUACUCGUACUAUCUGAGCAUGUUACCCUCUCAGAAAAGCUUUUAAAGAGAAGGGUGAGAAGAGCAUUCCAUACAGGUGGAAGAUUAGGCUUCCUAAAUUUGGAGACAGUGGCCAAAUACACCUUGUAGCCCAUUUGAUAAAACAUCUCAAAGAGAGCAGAGUUGGAGAUUAAUUUUGGAUCGACGACCUUGAGGCAGUCCAAGGAGGUUGGAGAACCUGGACUUAUUGAUCUGGGUUUUCUUGUUGUCGACUUCAAAGGUGAUCUUCUCUUCCCCUUGUUGGUAGCUAGCAGUCGAAUAUGCCUUGGACAAAUGAACCAAGGGCACAUUCUCGGUUUUAGUUAGGGUGAUUACCAAUGGUUAAUAUCGUAGGCACUUGAUCAAAGGUUGAAGAAAAGCAUCGUAUUUGGUUUGUUCAAGGUCCAGAAUAAGAUUUUGGUUUGCCCUGAUGUUCAGCAGUGAUGAUCGUGCCAUCUGUUCAGCAACGGAAGGGGUUUCAGAAGAGGAUGUCACUGUUGCUUGGUGAAGAAGAUGAUGGACAGUAGAGAGAGAAAUCAUCGGGUGAAUUUUGAUUUCUUUGAAAGUGGUAAUGAAUAAUGAAUCAUCGAAAUACUUAUAUAUGAUAUUGUAGGAGAGAGAAAUCUGACGGCUGAUAAUCCCAAUGACUGAAAAAGCGCCUAAAAAGGCGUUACUGGCAGCUGUGACGUCAAACGGCGUAACUGACAGCAGGCUUCGUUUCAGUUUUCACAUGCCUAAAGUCAAAUCUUAUCCACAAAUACCACCGUUUCAGUUGCUGACUUUUGCAGUUUCAUACUUUCGCAAUUUUAACUUUCUCAAGUGAUUACUAUUUAUUGUACUCCGAAACAGACAGUAAUCAUUAGACAACGAACUAGAAUUUUUGAAAAUCAUAAUGAUCUUCAUGCAAGAGUGUGCCAAAGAUAAAGAAAUAAAAGCGGAUGGAUCCCAGGUAACGAUUUCUUCCUUCGCAGUCAAGAGAGUCUUUGACGUGCUUGUGUGGUGUCCCAUUGAAUUACGAUCAUCUGUUUGUGGAGAAACAGUCAAAGGCUUCUUUUAAUAAGGCUAAAAGGGUGGCUUCUUCUUCAACUAAGUUCGAAACUCAAAAUAAUUUUGAACGUUCGUAUGAAGUACAAGUCUGACAAGUGUAGCCAUAAGAACAAGUAUGCUUGGGAAUUAUUUUUUCGUGGUUGGAUAAUAUGGAAAUCUCAAAAAAAAAAAAUAAGAAUUGGAUCUUAUGGGAAGAAAAGUCUUAGGUCUAGAACAAUUCAUUAAGAUCUCGCAAAAAUAAAAAAAGAUUUCAGGAUACAAACGACGAAGGUGGAAAUUCGUUAAUUCCUUGGUGAAAAAUAUGGAACGUGUGUAUUGUUCACCGUCAAUUCUUAAAUAUGUGUUGGAUUUUGGGUUUCACUCAGUUCGUGGUGAUAACGAAUUUAAGAUCAUAAACACAGAAUUUGUAUAGCCAUAAACCUCAAUGGUAAUAUCUGUGAGUCUCAAUGGUUACAUUCAUGAAUGCGAAAGUGAUGGAGUAGUAGUGGAAGGUAGUUUCAAAGAAAAAUGUACCUCUGCUAUGCAAAAGUGACCAAGCAGUCAAAUCUUAACUUAGUAUGAGAAGAGUAAGGUAGCUCAUGACUUAUGUUAAUGAACAGCCUAACUGGGAAGAAACGAUUGAUUUUAUCGAUUCAUUAAGGCUUCAACAUCGAGUCUUAGAAGCAUCACACUACAAGCAACAACAUCCUUCUAGGGACACUUAACUAGUGCAUAGAUUCAAAAUAUUUACUUGUCCCAUCAUUCAUAAUUUAGAUCAUCGUGAUGUGUGUCUUCAAUUCUGCUCAAUCAUCUAAUCUUUUUGGUAUUUUUGAAUAUUUUAUGAAAAGAAAUAAGAAAUUGAAGAUAAAGAAAAUAUUUUUGUAGUUUUUGUUUUUCUGAAAAACAACUAAAAUAGAAUAAAAUAUGUUUGGAUUUUCGAUUUUAUGAAAAGAAAUAAAAUAUUUUUGGAUUUUCAAUUUUCUAAAAAAGAAAUAAAAAUAGAAAGAAAUAAAAUAUGUAGCAAUAAACAAAAUGUACAAAGGAUACAUGAAGUUCUAAACCAGGAAUGAACAAUAGACUGUGAGCCACUGCGAACGUUCGCACCAAUUCGCAAUUCAACCAAAAGUUUAAGACUGUGAAGGUAGUUUCAGAACUGAUUCGGCCUCAGUUAUUCCUAAGCCAUGAAGAAUGUGAUUAAAGGUUUGUUCAGGUAAGGCUUUUGUAAAGAUGUCAGCUAGCUUAUCAGCGGAUCUAACAAAGUGAAUCUCGACAUUUCCAUCUUCCACGUGAUGUUUGAUGAAGUGAUACGUCAAUGCAAUGUGUUUGGUCUUAGAGUGUUGCACUGGAUUGUGACAUAUGUGAAUGGCGCUCUCUGAAUCGCAAUACAAGGGGAUUCGCUUCAUAUUGAUACCAUAGUCACAAAGCUGACUUUGAAUCCAGAUAACUUGUGAAAUACAAGAUGCAGCGGCUAUGUAUUCUGCUUCCGCAGUUGAUAGGGAGGCACAGGUUUAUUUCUUUGAUUGCCAACUAACAAUUUUUCCAUCAAUAAAUUGACAUCCUCUUGUUGUGCUAUUCCGGUAUAGACCGCAACCUCCAAGAUCAACAUCCGAAAAUUCUUGCAUAAGGAACCCUGAACUGGAAGGGUACAAUAUUCCGAGUGAGGAGGUUCGUUUAAGAUACCUAAAUAUAAAACAAGAUGUAUCGCCGACUAGUAGUUAGAUACAUCAAUGACCCUAUCAUUUGACGAUAGAGUGUCAUAUCAGCAGCCGGUUUGUCCAAAGAUGGUGUUAGUUUCGUUCCGAACGCCAUUGGAACCUUGAGUUUCGAAUCACCCACCAUUCCAAACUUGGUAAGUAGGGUCUUCCUAUAAGCCUCCUCGUUGAUAAAAAUUCCUUCUUGACUCUGUCUUAUGUUCAAACCAAGGAAAAAGUUAAUUCGACCCAUAGAGCUCAUUUCAAAUUUAGUUUCCAUCAACUUUCGGAACUCAACAGCUAAAUUGGGAUUUGUAGAACCGAAGAUGAUGUCAUCAACAUAAAUUUGGACAAUCAUCAAAUGGUUACCAUCAUUCUUGCGAAAGAAGGUUGGGUCAACUGAACCGUGUUUAAAUUUAGCUUGUUUUAAAAAUCUAGUAAGAGUUUCAUACCAGGCUCGUGGAGCUUGCUUUAGACCAUAGACUGCUUUAUCUAGAAUGUAACAAUGAUUCGGAUAUUUCUCGUUUACGAACCUAGGUGGUUGUUCCACAUACACUGUUUCUUCAAGUUACCCGUUCAGAAAGGCACACUUAACGUCCAUUUGAAAGACUUUGAAGUUCUUGUGAGCUGCAUAUGCCAAAAAGAUACGAACAGAAUCCAACCUCGCAACUGUUGCGAAGGUUUCUUCAUAGUCAAUGCCUUCUUCUUGGCAAUACCCCUUAACAACUAGUCGCGCCUUGUUUCUUAUCACAUUUCCCUCUUUGUCUAGCUUGUUAUGAAAUACCCAUUUUAGACCGACAAUAAAUGCAUCCUUCAGAGUGGGAAUUAGUCUCCAGACCUUGUUACAUUCAAACUCAUUGAGCUCCUCCUGCAUUGCUUGCACCAAAUCGGAAUGAUCAAGAUCAAUCUAAACAUUUUUGGGUUCAGUUUUGUAGAUAAAUGAAUUGAACAUGCAAAACUCCAUUUAGGAGAAUAGUGUAGUCCAAUUCGCCUUUUGUUAUGCCCUCGAAAGAACUCCUGUAGAGGCUUCUCCAGUUACUUGUGCUUUGGGGUGAUCUUUGGUCCAUUUGGUCAAAGGAGGGUAAUUUGGAGCAUAUGUUGGAUAUAGUUCAACAUUUACAUCCUGAAAUUCUGACAGCACAUCCGAAUCAUCAUUUGUAUUUUCAUUCUCCCCCUUGAAUGAUGUAUGUUCUUCUUCAUUCGGAGUUGGAACCUCCCCCUAGAGUGGUGGUUCAAUGCUGAUUUCAGAGCUUUCUUUCUCCCCUUGAACAGGUGUAUGAGAUGAGGAGGUUGAAGUGCAACCCUCCCCUUACGGUGUAGUAUUCGCACCCUUUGAUUGAGACGGAAUUUCAGAGUCUUUCAGAGUGGGGUUCUUGUGUUCCAUAUCUUUUGGAGCAUCAUCAAUAAUCUUUUUCAAUUAAUAUUCUUUGUUAUUUGCUGCCUUGGAUUCUAAAGAGAUCGCCUUGUCAGGUUCGUCAAAGAGGUUCAUGAAUUCCUCAUAAAGGCUAGAGAGAGGAAUUGUCAUCGGAUUUUUCACGGGAAAGAUUUCAUCUGAUUGGGAAUCGACCUUUUGAUACUUCUUAAGAUAAGUUUCAUCAAAGGUGACAUAGUAGGUGUCUUCGAUUCUUUUUGAUCUUUUGUUUAGAAUCGAAUAUGCCUUCGACAUUAAAGAAUACCCCAAGAAAAUUCCUUUGUUGGCUUUCGCAUCGAAUUUGUUCCUUUGGUCCAUAGAGUUAUAGAUGAAGCACCUGGAGCCAAAUCUUUUAUUUAGGAAAGAUCGGUUUUGCGUGAAACAAGUUAUGCCGAUGGCUCUUGUCCAGAAGUAGAGUGGCAGGUUCGCAAAUGAUAACAUGGUUCUCGCAGCUUCGCACAAAGAUCGAUUUCGCCUUUUAAUGACCCUGUUCUAUUGAGGAGUGUAAGGAGCCGAAAAGUUAUGAGUUACCCCUUUCGCAGUCAGAAUUUCUUCAAACGCUUGGUUUUUGAAUUCUAAAUUGUAGUCACUACGAAUGUUACUAACUAGCUUUUGUAUAUGUAUCUCGAUCUACUUUAUAAAAUCCUUGAGCUUGGGAGUGGCUUCUGAUUUCUUCUUAAGAAAAUGCACCCAGGUAAAUCUAGAAAAAUCACCAACAAUUAAAAGAACAUAUUUGUUACCACCAAUGCUUUCAAUUACAGAUGGACCACAAAGGUCUAUAUGCAAAAGUUCAAGUGGUUCUAUGACUUUGGUGUUCACAAUUGUUGGAUGACUCUUCCUACUUUGCUUCCCUAAUUCGCAGGCCACACAAAGAUGUUCCUUAUCGAAUUUCAAGAGUGGAAGCCCUCGCACAUGAUCACCAAGAACGAGUUUAUUGAUGUCUUUGAAAUUGAGGUCUGAGAGUUUACGGUGCCAUAGCCAGCUAUCAUCUGAAGAAGCUUUCAUAAGUAGGCAGAUAACAGGUUUCUCUUUGCUAGAGUUCAGAUUUAGAGGAUAUAUCUCACCUUUUCUCUUAGACUUUAACAACACAGUUUUGGAUUUCUUCUCAAUUAUCUCUGAUCCUUCAUCGUCGAAUGACACUUUAAAGCAUGUGCCCACAGCCAAUUGUGAUACACUGAUAAGGUUGUGUUGUAGGUCUUCCAUGUAUGCUACCUUUUUUAGGGUGCAAAGCCACGCUUGUAUGUAUUUGUGCUUUACCCACUUGUAUUGUGUAAUGAGUUGUCUUCCCUAUAAAUAGGAAGUGAGUGACACUCAUUUAUGUAAUGAACACUUUGAGAUCAUUAGUUUAGAGAGAGAAAUUGCAAGACCCAUUUGUACUCUUUCUAUCAAUACUAAUGAGAGUUAAACCCAUAUUUAUUUACUUCAUGUGUUCUUGAUUUUGUAUGAUGAUUCACUAGAUCUUUUCUAAUUACGAACAUGCCAUCAUAAUCAACACCAUUACAAUUGGUACCAGAGCGGGUGUUCUUGAUUUGAUCAAGAAUUGAUCCUUGAUGACAUUCUAGAUUUGGUGAUUCAUCAUUUUGAUCUUUGAUCUUUGUGUUAUUGAGAUUUUGGAUUCUGGAAAUCGAAUUCAUCAUUGAUUCUAUUCAUAAUUCGAUUUUCUUCACUAGAAUUCAAGUAAUUUUUACUUUCUGUCUCUAGAAAACACAUUCAAAAUCACUUUCUCUCUCUAGAAAUCUUCAAGUUUUAUGAUCAUGGUAGAUUUGUUGUAUGACUCUUGGAUUGUGAUUGUUGAAGAUAUCAAAUACAAAGUCAAUGAAGAUCAAUUUUAUGGGUUGUUGUUAAGAAAAUUUAUUUGAUGGGGUGAUAUGUUUGCUUAUGGAGAUUUGAAGGAUGAUAAUGGAAGCUUGAUUUUUCAACCACUUUGUACGAUUGUGUGGUUGAAUAAAAUUGUCUUGUCCAUAUUAGUCCGUAGUAGAAAUCAAAAGGAAGGAGAAGAAAGAUAUUUAUUUAAUAAGAAAUACAUUUCGCUAAUUGAGAACCCAAAUGAUCUUCGUGCUCUUAAGUUUGUUGAAGUUCAAGACAAUGGUGUUCAAUGUGAUGUUCUUGAAGUUCAUGACAAGAAGAUUCAAGUUGAUUCUCAUGAAGAUGCAAAAGGUUUAUGCUCGAUUGGAGUUCAAACCGAUGAUAUUUAGUGUUCUUCUCAUUCGUUUGAAGGAAUGAUUCCUUAUCAAAAGCCGGUAAUCCAAGAAAUUCACAAGUAUCAAACUCCAAAAGAUUUGAUUCAAACUUUUCAAGUUGAAGUUUUUAAGAAUGAAGGUGUUCUUGAAAUCAAAUCUUCAAGAUGCAAAAAGAUGAGAAAGAAAAAUAAGAAGAAGAUUAAAUGAAAAAAUAAGUGGGUUUACUCACAAAAAUCGUUAAAUGUUGUGAAGCUGAAAGUCGUGAAGCAAAUUUGGGUUCCAAAGCAAUAAUCUCCAAGUGUCGCAUUGAAUUUGAAGUCAAAAAUCAAAAGUGUUGGUGGUUCUUUUGAAGAUUUUCUUGGAUCGUUGAAGAACACGAAGAACACAAAGAACGAGUUGUACAUCAUGCAUAGUGGGUGGUACAAUGUUCAAAUUUAAGAUUUUCUAGUUCCAAGAAAAGAACCAAGAUCUUCUAAGUGUGAUUCGUUCAUUGAAAAUGGAACUCGAUUCGUCAAAAAGGUAUCUCAAAUUCUCAAAUGGAUUCCAAAACGUUCAUAAAUUCAAUUCGCGCGUUUACGUUUUUCAUUUUUGAUCAUUUUGUUUCGUUGGAUCCAUUUCGUUUCAAAUCCCAUUGUUGAUCCAACAAUAUGUUUUUUAGAUUAAGCCCAAACCAAACAUGAAUUUUGUUUUGUUUAAACCUUGAGCCUAAAAUCAAUUUACUCUUCAUCGAUAAAUUGUUUUAAGCCCAAUUAACAUAUCUGUUCUUGUUCAUCUUGCUAAACCCAAAAUGCUAAAAUGUUACAGUUCAAUUCGAUACCUCGUUCUUGUUCAUUCGUUAUUCUCGAUAUAUUGUUUUUUUUUCUAAAUUCAAUGCUUGUUUUCAAUAUUGUUCUUUCAUUGGAGUUGAAAUUGAGAUCGAAUGUUGUGGACUGAUUCAAGUCAAACUCAAACUUGCACAUCGAUGUGUAAAAAUUCAACAAUGAUUAUAGGUCGAAUGGAAAGUUAAACUGGGUUUGGAAUCGAAAUGGUUGGAGUCGACUGAAUUUUGACUACUGUUAAUUGUUGAUUUUGAUAUUCGAAGGUCUGUAUUAACUGUUGAUAUUGAGUGUGGCGUGCUUGGAGAUUAUCAGUCGAAUGUAUUUUGGGAAGUCGAUUGAGAUGUGAUAAUCUAUUUAGGUUACGAACUGAUAAUGAAUGGUUGAAAGUAAAAUUAAAUCGAUGAUGGUUUACUUCGUGAUCGACAUUAGAUAUCAUAAAUCAAGAAUCCGAUUUAUGAUUGAUGUGGAGGUUCGAGUGUUUGAUAUGCUAUCGAUUUUUAUGGUCAUAUAUUGGGAAAAUGUGAUUUCGAGUAUCAGUUAAUGGAUUUCGAAGGGUGCUAAUCACAGAUUGUUGAUCUUAUGUCAAGUAGCAAAGAGUUGCUAUGUGAUGUCAAGGAUUGAAGGAUUAUCGAGUUUGGAUCGAUAUCAAUGGAAGUAUGCUUGAUGUUGAUUGAGUUUGGGUUCGUUGAAGGAUUGAUGGUCUUUGGAAGUGAUGGUUGGAAAUGAACUCUGUUUGAUUUUGGAAUUAACAACUAAGUACUAUAUGUUGUUGAGGAACGCAGAUAUAGCGAAUUUGUUAACUGUGAAACGAAUUGUGAAUGGUUUGGAUGUUGUUUCAUCUAAGUCAAAAAGCGAAGGUUCCUAUGUUUGGAUUUUGAUAAGGAAACGGGUUUAAACAGGUUGAAUGGUUGGUCUGGGAUGUCGACAAUUGAACGAAAUUUUGAUGUCGAUGUUGAUUGAUGAUUUGGGAGUUGUGAUGUCGAUUUUGGAUGAUGCUAUCGACUGAAACAAGAAAAUUUUGGAAUGAAGGUUUCGAAAGAAAGGAUGACGAACAGAUGGUUUGGGAGUGUAUUAACUAACGAACUCAAAUGUUAGUUCAUUGCUUGAAGAUGUAUGAGACAGUCGAAGCAUUGAUAUUGAUGUCGAUUAUUUUGGGAAGCCUUGUAAUAGAGAACAACAAUCUGAAUGAUGAAGAUCUUACUGUUCACUAUUCAGUGUUCGACACACUUCGAUUUCGUUAUUCCUCUAACUGAUUAAGAAGGCGCUUCAUUGACGAAUUUUUGAAACCUAAAAGUGAAACAUGUUGCUGUGUAACUAAUUCAUGUUGCUCUGUAACGAAUUGGGGAAGAAACCAACCAUGUUUCGAAAUUGGUCCUUAAACUUUCAUGAUCAAUCCGUAUCCCUUGAUUUCUCCUAGUGUAUUAUUACCGAACAUCACUCUUCCUCCAUCCUUCAGUGCUUUAAACUCUCUCAGCUCUUCUUUCGUUCUUGUCAUGUGACACGAGUAACCACUAUCAAUGUACCAUUCAGAGUCAAACUGCUCAUCACGAAUCACCUAAAAAAAUCAAAGAGAUUUAGGAACCCAAAGUUGUUUGGGUCCACAUGAAGAUUUCACAGGAAAAGUAAUCACAACAUCAACUAAAUAAGAUCAUUUAAAUUAAUAUGCAAUGAUCUUUCUUUUUUAUUUGAAAAACAGUGAUCUGAUUAUCUUUUAAGUUCUUAUCCUUUGAGGAUAUUUUCCUUUGUUUUUCUUGGACUUGUUGCUUGACAGGUUUCUUCUUAACUUUAUUUGGGUUACUUUCAGACCUCUUGAAAGGAAUUUUAGGCUCCAAAACUAUCUUUUCUUUGCACUUAACAUCUUUUGAUGUUUUGGCAAAAUGUGAGGCAUUCUUGUUAGGAGAGAAGUGAGACUUUGACUUCUCCUUAGGUUUCGCUUGAUUUGAAAAAGAAGGCUUUUGAAAAACUUUUUGUUUUGAAACCUGUGGAGACUGAGACCAAGUUCGUGAAAAACUCCUAGGGUUCGCAUGUGAAGAGACUUUCGCAUUCUGAUUGGAUGAUUUUUCUUGAAAACGAAGUUAGGAUUUUUGAUCUUCCAGAAUGCUUUCUUUCCUUUAGAUUUUUAUUAUAUCUCGCAUCUCAUUGACAUUUUUGAGCAGCGAAUUGCUCAGGGUACUUGUGAACAAUAGCCCUAGGUUUCGGCUUUCUAACAGGAGUUUCAACCGUUUCAGAUGAUGUAUCAUUUGGAACAUUCUUGGUUCCACUUGGACUCCCUUUCUCGUAGCUUGAUUUGACCUUUUUCAGCGUUCUACUACAUAUCUUCCCUUUGUUCUGCAAGAUGUCAUUUCAAAGAGACCUUUGGUUUCGUAUGCAUUGUCAAUGGGAGGUAACCAAAAAUAUUCGUCGCACCCAUCAGCAUUGUCUUCUUGUAUCAGGGAUGUUAGUUCUAUGGUUUAGUUUUUGUUCAGUCCGCAUUGUGAAAACCUUGUUAGGAAUUGUUCUAACCUUUUGGAAAACUAAAGCUUUUUCUUUUAAAAUCUUUGGAUUAUUUUCAUAAAUACGAGCAAAAUCAACUGAAUUUUCAGAAAUCAAGACUUUCGCAGGUUCAGGUUCGCUUUUAACAAAUUUUGAACAAUCAACCUCAUCCUCCAAAGAGAUCUCACUCAUGUCACUAUCAUCAUCGAAUUCAGACACAUUUUCAACAUUAAGUUUAUUUUCUGAACUCAUCUUAGAGCAUAAAGAGUCAAAUUUCUAUACAGUUUCAGAUUUGAUUUUCUCUUUAUCUUUUUCAUCCAAAAUUUGUUUUAGCAUUUCCUUAUGAUCUUUGGACUUAAUGUAAGAUUCAAUUUCUGUCGAGACCGGUUUUGUAGCCAUCUAAGACUUCUUUUGACGACACGAUUGAUUCGCACUUAUAACAGUCUGCAUCGAUUUCGUCCUCUUUCAGUUCAAGAAACGGAAAAAUCAUCUUGUGGAUCUUCUUUCCUAUUUCAAAGAAGAUAUGCAGCUGUGUAAUAUUAAAAUAAAGCCAUUUUGCAAUUAAACAAAAAAUGUUUUGUUGUUUUAAAAGCCCCAAAUUGUCACGUUGCGAAUAAAUUAAAUUAUCCCUAGAUCUAGCUAAAUCUAACUCUAACUUCUCAAUACACAUGCGCCUUUCUUCACUUUUGUUCGAAACCCUGCCGAGUUCAUUGGUUAAGUUAGAAUUUGUUAAACGGGUUCGUUUUAGACUAUCGUUGAAACUUAAAAAUGUAAAUCUUAAGUCUUUUAAUUCAGUUUCAUACCAGGAGACAGGAAUGCUUAGAGAUUCGAGAAUAGAAUUUACCUUAUUGAUCAUCUUCUCACAUUCACUUAUUUGCUCCAAAACAGGUUUCCCAGUGAAGCAGUUGUCAGAAUCCCAGCCACUAUCAGUAGCGUAGCCCCUUUGCCCUGAAAUGUCAUUGCUAACCAUAAAGCAUCUUCUACUGAACUGCGAAUCUUCAUCCUUCACAACGAAGCUUUUCUCGUGAGUUGGUCUACAAACUUCUUCAUCCUCUGAAUCAGUCGACCACACUUCAACUCUUCCAAACUCAUCAUCCUGUUCCUGCACAAUCAAAGCAGGUUUAGCUUCAUCUGUAUUUUUCUUCUUAAAUUUCCUCCAGAUUCCUGAGAAAAUAAGCCUCAUCAUCUUCUUCCUCUUUCUUCUCAUUCAUUCUUCUUAGCAUGCAUUCCUUAGCCAGCUGAUUUUUGCCAUGACAAUAGUUGCAGUCAUAGUCAAUGUCUCCUACAAGUUUUUUCUCCUUCUUCACUUCUUCCUUUUUGGAGUUGUUAGAACUCUCAUCCUUCACCUUCUGUGAGUUGUAACAUUCCUACCAAUUUUGGUUUUUUUGUGUCUAAAAUUCUUCUUUGCGAACCUUUUUGGAUUGGACACCAUCAUAGCAUACUAUUCUUUUGAGAAUUCACAAUCGGAGAGAUCAGACUCCGAACCAUGUUCAGCAACCUUCUUACCCUUUGCUACGCGAGCUAACGAACCCAUGCUAGAACAAUUUUUCCCUCACUCGUCACUUCAUCCUCGUGUGACCUUAGAAUACCAACAAGCUUUGCCAAGGAGUAGUUUUUGAACUGCUCAUGCGCUUUAACUAUCAACACCAUAGCCUUCCAUUCGAAUCUUAACCCGUUCAUAAACGUGACCUUUUGCUCUAACAGUUCACAUUUUAUCUUGUGUUUCGCCAUCCUGCUCAAUAGAUGGUUAUAACAGUUGAAUAUUUGGUCCAGUUUCUCCACAUGCUUUUGAAUGAAAGCUCCAAACUCUGAAAGUAAUAAGGUCUGAAUAGAAUGCUCAAGAUCAGCGUCACUUGAGUAGAGUUCUCUACGCCUUUCCCAUAUUUCUUUUGUUGUUUCGUUGGAGCUUACUAAGCGAAACGUGUCGGUAGGCAAAGCAAAAUGAAUGAUUCUCAUAACCCUAACAUUGUUGAUUAGCUUGUCUUUUUCUUCUUUAGGCACUUCUCCAGCUUCGAGAAGAAGAUCAUUGUACUGAGCUUGAGUCUUGAUAACCCUUUUGUACCAGUAUGAGCAAAAGUCUCCUUGGUUAUUGCAUCCCAUAUCAAGCAGCCGUUAUCUUCAAGCCCUAGCACGUAAUCCUCAAAGUGCACUUCCCGCUCUUCAUAAUCGUUUGGAAAGAGUAUAAAGAUCCUUGUUAUAGAUCCAAUACCGUUUGCGAGAUUGAUUGAGUUAGCAUGAGAAUCGUCAGGAUGCCUGUUGUCGAUACAAUAAAAACUUGUAUGAACCAUAUGUGUAAACUAAAAUCGAGUUUAGGUUAGAAUAUGGAUCAAAAUACAACAUCUACAAUCGAACAAGACGAUGAAGACGACUUAUAAUAGAUCCAAUAAAAGUGGAAACCCUAAUGAAACUCGACAGAAGAUUUGCGUAGGUUUACACAAUCUCCUGCUCCGAUACCAAUUGUUAGAACAAUAAAGAGUAUAUCGAUAGAUUUCAAACAAGUAAUUGAAUUAUAAACAAUAACACAAUGAUCAAAGUUAUGUCGAAUGAUUAAUAAUCUCUCCAUUAAAAGAACUCGAUGAAGAAUUGCUACUGUAAAGGCAGAGUAUGAUUACAAAAGAAUCGACAGUAGAUAUGGUGCAUGCAUGCAAUAUUUAUAGCCAAACCCUAAUCAUUAAAGACACCGAGUGGACAGGCCUAAACCGUUACAUAAAAUGGACUAUACUAAACAAAUAUAAUUGACGCAAUCCAUAAGACCCAACAUCACACAUCGUUUUUCACUCAUUUUCAUUCUUACAGAAAACGACUCAAUAAACAUUUCAACAACAUUCUGACAAAAUGAGAAUAAUAAAAAAAAUCUAUAAUAACCUUAUACACAGUUUAAUUGGUGAGAAUGUGUGAUAAUGACAAUAGUUAAUUGAUUUUAUUCAUAUUAUCAAACAACAUAUUUGUUUGUCAUUCUCACAAAAUAGCAUUAUCUAAACGUCCGCACAACAGAUAUUAAUCCACAUUUGAACUUUUAUAUAUAUAUAUAUAUAAAAUACUAAUAUUUAAUAAUGAUACGAAAAACACAAAAAAAAAUGGAAAGAAAAGGAAAAAAAAUCCUUAUUUCUAGUAGAAAUGUAAAAUAAUAAUAAUGAUGAUGAUGAUGAUGAUGAUGCCUGUAUCAUAAUAUUAAAACCGAAAAAAAAAAUGUUUAGAUAAUCGGUCAUAAACUCCUAAUAAUUCAAAUAAAAUGAAAACAACUUUAAUAACCAAUAUAGAAAAAUAAUAAUAUUGAGUUGGUAGCCACCUUUUCGUGACUUAUCUGAUCAGAGAUUCAUAUUUCAUAGGCUUUUAGAACUAAGUUUUAAUUUUUUAGAUAUCAAAGUGGACUGGUCUUCUUAGCUGUGAUGGCUGAACCGGACAGAUUAGGUUUGUAAAUAAUAAUGAAAAAGCAAGUGUAAGCAAGCUGUUGAAAUCAAUUUCAAGUCAACGAAGUACAGUAUAUUAUUUACAUAAAAGUAAAAGUAUAAACAAUCAUAAAUCACAGUGAUAGCUGGCGUCCUUUAAAGUAUAGAUACUAGUAAAUGAGGGUAACAUAUCACCACCAGAACUCGUCCUCAAUUUUAAUUUGCAUUUAACCAUUUCGUCCUCCUCUUCUUCCCCAUCACCAUUGAUACCUCACUACCUCCUUUUAGCCUAAUUCUUACCAAUUGAGUUUCCAUUUACACAUUCAAAUUACUCCGAAUCCAAUACUAACUAUAUUUUCUUACUUUCGGUUCGGGCUUAAUAUCAGUCCUAGACCACUCCAAUCCCAGACCAGUGUAAUCAUAGUUUCAGUCUCUUUCUAACUUACAAGCUUAAUAUGUCAAGUAUCUAGAAUUUGUUUUCUUUUAUCUUAAUAGACAAACCACCAUUGGAUAUAUAUAUUGGUGUUUCUAGGGGGGUCUAGUUAAUUUGAAGGGCCUAUGAAAAAAAUAAAUUUGAACCCUUUUAUAUAUAUANNNNNNNNNNNNNNNNNNNNNNNNNNNNNNNNNNNNNNNNNNNNNNNNNNNNNNNNNNNNNNNNNNNNNNNNNNNNNNNNNNNNNNNNNNNNNNNNNNNNNNNNNNNNNNNNNNNNNNNNNNNNNNNNNNNNNNNNNNNNNNNNNNNNNNNNNNNNNNNNNNNNNNNNNNNNNNNNNNNNNNNNNNNNNNNNNNNNNNNNNNNNNNNNNNNNNNNNNNNNNNNNNNNNNNNNNNNNNNNNNNNNNNNNNNNNNNNNNNNNNNNNNNNNNNNNNNNNNNNNNNNNNNNNNNNNNNNNNNNNNNNNNNNNNNNNNNNNNNNNNNNNNNNNNNNNNNNNNNNNNNNNNNNNNNNNNNNNNNNUAUAUAAGCAAAAUUCAUUAGUACUCCAGUAAGUUAAUAAUUGUUAAAAAACAACAAAAAAAGAACGAUAAUAUAAAAUCUAAUCUUACAUAGUUACAUGAAUCGUGAUGUUUUCAUAACAUUCUUAGAAACAAAGUUGUUCACCAACUCUUCAUAGUAAAUAUUCUCUAAUAUAUUGUUCUUGAUAACUAUCUUUCCAUGCUAUUAAGUAUUUCUUGUGACAUUGUGGACCACAAAUAGGACUUUAACAACUUCAAUUUUUAGAAACUUGUUUCUACAGGUAGUUACUAGAAUAGUUGACAAGACUCUAUAUGUAACAUUUUCAAUUUUAGGUAUGUUCCAUUUAGCCCUUCAAUGUGAAAUUUCUUGAAUUUUGGUCCCUAGCCGAGUAUGCUGGACAUACUUUAUGGGUACGCUGGGCGUACUGGCUCGAUGGCUUGGACGCACAAGCACCCACGUACAGUGGGUGUACGUGGCAGUACGUCGGGCAUACGCUCAUCAUGGGAAACCCUAAUUUUUAGUGUUUGUGCCAUACCUAACACCUUAAUUUGCUUUGUGAGUUUCUCAUGACUAGCGUCCACCAAUCCAAACCCUAAGAACAAAAUUUUAGCCUUCAUUUGAGUGUUUAUGUGCAUUGUUGUGAUCUUGUGGUGUUUUUGGAUCCUUUAAAGGAGGUGAAGCUUUGGUGUACUUAGAGCUUGAAGAUCCAAAAUCUUCAUCAACUUUGAAAGUUUUCAUUGGUAUAAAGCUUCCACCUUGGUAACUCCAAUUGAUAGAUAUAGUUUAGGGCUUUGUUUUGGGUAUGUUUUGGCCCCAUGAUCCCUCCUUAUGAUUAUGAGUCACUCUAGGCGUUGGAAAUGCUAGAUCUUAGCCUCUUUAAUGUUCCUUAUGCAUAAAAAUGCUACCUCGAUUUCUUAUUUUGGACCAUGCAUGAGUUAGGACUCUUAUUAUGAGUCUUAAUGGUUAAAAUCGAGUAUUGGGUCCUUUUGAGCCAUGCAAAGGCUCCAAGUUCAGAACCUUAUGGAUUAGGACAUUCCUAUAGACUUGAAUCAAUAAUUUUGAUGUUGGAAUGCAAGUAUUAAGCACUUAAGGAAAAAGUGAUUAAUAAGUAUGUACACACGGCAUACGCAAGAGUAUGCUGCAUGUACGUGCCUGUGUCUGUCAUCAUGCAUGCAACCUUGUAUGUGGGGCGUACGUUUAGUACGCGAAAUAUACUAGGCUUGGUAUUGGGCUUUUGCGACUUUGGACCAUAUUUGGGCUAGUGGAGUUUUAGGCCUUAUUGGGCCAUCAACCUUUCUGACUUUGGGUCAUUUCUAGGCUUUGGGCCUUCUUGAAUUUUGGCCCAAAUUGGGUUUUGGGUAUCAUUUAGGGAUUUGGACCGUAUUGGGCUUUUUUGUGCCAUUGGUAUGGGCCUCGGGUAUUGGGCCAAGUGAGGAAAGGGUAAAAUGGUAUUUUACCCUGAGUGUUGGUAAAUAAACUAAGAUCCUAGUUAUGGUUUUUAGCCCAAUUAUUAAUUGGGUAUUAGUUGAUGAUGUUUAGUGCGGAGAUUUCCCAAAUCAGCAGCGCGAGCUUUUAUCUGAUAUAAUCAGCAGUUUGAGGUGAGUCUCUUCACUGUGGUUGAUGGGUUGAAGGCACAAAUGUCGGCCCUUGAUUUAUUAUGAUUAGGAUGCUAGUUGUUUGUGUGACUCGUGCAUGUGUAGUAUAUGAUAUGUAUAUCGGGCGGGGUCUGAUGCCUGCCGAGGCCAAAUGGGUGUAUUGUAUCUUAUUUAUCUUAGUGAUUUUUGAAUGUGUUUAUUUGUCUGUAUGAAUGUCGGGCGGGACUCGAUGCCAAACGGAGCCUGAUGAAUGUAAUGGGUGAGGCCCCUCUCAUGUUUUGAUAGAUCUGUUCCGAGCAGGGCUUCAUGUCGGGUUUAUGGGGCAUGGCCCAUUCUAUGUUUUGUAUGCAUGGUGUCAGGUAUUUUAGGGAACUCACUAAGCUUGGUGUUCAUGGUUUUCAGAUAAUGUUUCAGGUACUUCUGGAUCGAAGGGAAAGAGCUCGGGAUGAUCGCAUCGCACACACAACGAUAUCUGUUUUAUAUGACCCUGAUGUAUCGGGAUAUUUUUUUGGCAUACUCUGGUUUUCUUGUAUGGUUUUUGAUGCGACCUGGUCACCGGACGAUGGAGCCGUAUGCCUCUGAUGAUUCCGAUGAUCCUACGAGGUCACAAUGAGAAAGAUGUUUGAUUAAUGUCUAAGUCCAUAACUAUAAUUGGUAAGACUUGACCCGACCCGGCAUGGUCCAUUUGGGUUGCAUGGCAUCAUGCAUUUGGAUAGACUAUAAUGAGAGAAGUAACACUUAAGGUUGGUUACUAUAUUAUAAGUUCUAAUAUAUUAAUAAGAUUAUUUAAUUAGUAUUGAUCAAGAAUUAAUCUAGGAUUAAUUAAGUGAUCAAAGGAAGACUAAUUAAAUAUAUGGGUUCAUUGUGUAAAUCAUUCAUACUUAUAUAGUGGGCUAAUGCUCCAUAGAUUAUCUAGUUGGGCUAAAACCCAUAUGAUGCUUCAUGGAUGCUCCAUGGUGUUUUUGUACCCAUGGAUCAUGGAAAUGAAAGGCCAUUAGGGUUUACAUGGUGUAACCCUAACUAUAUAUGCAUCUUAAUCAUGACCAAAAACGGCACUAGUAUUAUUCUAGAGAAGGGCUAGCCGAUUUCAAGUGUUCUACAUUUCUCUCAAGGUUAUUCCAAAAGCAAUUGAUGUUGUUNUCAAGCUUCAUGAAGACAUUCUACAUCAAAGAGGUAUGUAUUCUAUCUUGUUAUAUUCAUUGUUUUGUAUGCUAGAUUAGGAUAAUACCUUGGAAAGUUCAUAUUUGCAUGUAUAAUAGAGAAAACAUACAUCCAAGGUAUUUAAGGUUGCAUGUACACUUAGGAGUGUUAGAAUGCUCAAAAACCCAACAGUGGUAUCAGAGCCAGGUUUGUUUUCUUGUUAUACUUGCAAAAUUGGCUGAAAAAUCGAGUUUUUAUGCUGUUUGCCCAGCAGACUCGCCGAGUCCACUGAUGGACUCGCCGAGUCUAAGGCAAAAUGCAUCCAACUUGCCGAGUUUGUUCGUGCACUCGACUAGUUGGACCCCCAGACAGCAUAUAUUCGAUUGUUUUGGCUGGAAUUGGACUAGGAACAUUACCCUAAGAUGUUUUUGGACUUAUAAACUUGUUUUUGAUGUGGUAAUGUUCAUGCUAAUCCAAUUUCAAAUAUAAUUGUCAAUAGAUUCAUAAUUUGUAUUAGUUUAAGGUUUAGACUAAUUAGACGAAAAGGUUUGAUUUGAAUUAUCUUGUUCUUAUGAGUUGCUUAGAUUAAUAGAAAGUUAUGUGAAAUUAUUGUUUUCAAUCCAAAUUAAUCUAAGAGUUGAUUCUAAAAUGUGUUUUUGUAACUUGUCCUCAUGUUAUAUGAAAAGUCACAUUUAAGUUUAUAAAACUCAUAAAAGUUGGCAAUGGUUACAAAAAAUGAAGAGUCUUGUCCUCAAGUUAUGGAGGUUCAAGAGUCACUUCAUUAAGUAAUAAAAUAUGUAACCUUAAUUAAUUCCAUAAGUUACAAAAUAAAGAAAAAGUUACAUUCUUUAAUAAUUUAAAGUCUUCCAUAACUUGUCCUCAAGUUAUGGAACUUGACGAGUUUUUUAAUUAAAACUAAUUUAAACACAUAAGUUAUGGAAUUAAUUAGUUUUUAAUAGUUUCAAAACCUGUCCUCAAGUUUUGGAAUUUGAAAAUUUUUCACUUAUGAAUACUUCAAUUCCAUGUUAAGCCCUUAGAAUAUUAAAGGUUAAAAUUCAACCCUUAUACUUUAUAAUAUUAUAAGUUAAUAAUAUUUAUAUAUAUGUAUAAGAGUAAAGUCAGUCUUACCGUUAGUAGGCCUCAUUCACGAAGUCGGUCUAUAAGGGGGGUAUAAGGUUACUGCCUAUAAAAUGGCAGUUUAAUGGGUGUCCACUCUCACCCACCGCUUCCUUGACUGGUGGAGGGUCGUUAGCCGAACGGGUAGGACAAGGACUAUAAUUCUCCCUUCAUUAAAAGUAUUAAUGAUAAAUACUAAGUAACUAAACUUUUAAUAAUACCCAAUCUUAGUUACUUAGGAAAAUGUGAAUAAGGUGCUAAUCCAUGAAAUUACACUUUGCACUUUGUUUAAGUCGGUUAGUGGAGCGUGUGUGGUUAACCGGCACACUAACUCGUAUUUAACAAGGUAGGCAAAGGGUAACUUAAUGUUUAUCAUAGUAUCGAUGGAGCGUGUGUGGUUAACCGGCACAUCGAUUGAGGGGUAAACACUUAAGGGUACCAAGUAAUUUGCAUGGUUACUUCACACCUUGUUUUGUGAUCCUCGGCAUCCGAGUCACAAAACCUGAAGGGCACACUCGAGAUUGAAACAUGCCAUUGAACAGUUCAAUGAAUAUCAAAGAUCUAGGAGUUUCAAAACCAAUUAAAACCUAAUAAUACAUUUCGUUUAUCUUGGUGGAAAUUGGUGAAUCGUCAUUCACCUACCUUCAAAUAUUUUAUAGCUUGGAUUACGGCAUACCUCUUCUAAGUUAUAAAAUAGUUUGUUGGGUCCUAGCCUUAAUAUUUCAUAUUGGGUGUCAUAUUAAGGACUUUAGAUCAACUAUCUUGAAUAUCUCCCAAAAGAUGUCUGGUUUAGACAUCUAUGAUCUUCCCAAAUCUCUUGAAACAAGCUUUCCUAAAUCAAGAUGAUGUCCCAUGGAAAUCAUACUUCUUUCACCUCCUCCAAUUAUUCUCCCUAACCCACAAGUUCUUGAAAAGUUUAAGGUCACUCAAGCCCUAUUGGCAAGGCAAGGUCUAGGUGUGAUCACAUCUUGGAGAUGUAGUCACAUAUUGACAAGCCAGGAGAGUUGGGUGUCAAAGUCUUGAGAAAGUUGGUGGUUCAAUCACUUUCUAAGUCACAUAGUGAGCUUCUUUGGGACUCCUAUGAAACAGACUAUGACAAGACCCUUAAUGAUCUUAUCUAUUUGCUAAGAUCAACUUCCUAAAACUUUAUGGACAUUGACAAUAAUGACAUUGGAUAUCCAGUAAAGCUCUCUUUUCCCAAUGGAAAGGGAUUGGCCAUAGUCAUCAUGGUUGACCAAAUGGUAGAGAGAGAGGCUAAGUCUGAGAUAGUCUCAUUACAAGGGUCCAUUUCCAAAGGAAGGGGCAUUAGUUGCAAAGCUGGCUAAUUUUACCUAAGGAUGUUUGACUCUACUUCAGGUAAAAUCCAAUAUAUAACUCUGCUAAGUUUCGAUUCUGAGAUUCUUGAUACAUGAUGUGACUGGGUCACAUGGUGAUGUUUUAAGAAUCAAAGAAAAGUGAAGAAACUUAAAGAAAGAAUAUGCUGAAUCUGAUCGCAUAGAUGGAUUUCUAUCGCAUAGUUUGAAGAUCGGAUUCUUGAGCUACUUCUUAGGAGUUAUGAGAUAUUGCUUAGGAAUAGAUAACAACAAGUUUUCAUAUGGAUUGUAAGGAUAAGUUUUUCCGCAAAGUUUUAAAAUAAAAGGAAAUUUUUGAUUUUAUUUAUUUUAAAAUAUCCUUACAAUGGCAUUUGAGGAAAAAUUGUUGCUUAUAUGAUUCCAUUAAUAGCAAGAGUGGAAAUAUGAAAUUGAUUCUUUCAUUUGUGGUAAUGUCUAGAUUUACCAAAUAAGGAAAGAUUCUCAUCACCCAAGUUUCAAUUGGACCGGAACUUGGAAUCAUGCAAGUUGUAUAGCAUGAUGAAUGAGAACUUUCAAGUUUUGGAAAAUUAAGACUAAUUACUCGGCCACAUGGAUGUGUGAGUCAAGUAAAGGACUAAGGGAUCGAGUACACAUUCUUGUGCACUGAUUAAGUCCACCACAAAAGAUUGAUAAGACUAUUCGUCAUAGUUUACUAAAGCUCAGUAAAUAUGAUUAUACUUACAAGCUUAAGUGUAACUCUGAGACAUUGGAAAAGGUUCCAAUGUAUGGCAGAGCGAAUAAGAAGAAUCAAAUUAGGCAGAAGGAUAAAAGUUUCUCAAAUCUGAAAAGAUGGGAGAGUACUUUAGUAUCAGUUUUGUGAUCAUCUUAAUGAUUAAGAAACCAUAUCAAAAUUAGUUCUCUAAGGAAAUCUUAGUGCAUUCUUAUGACUAAGAAGAGGAACUUGAAUUGUUGAAAUGGUUAAAUCAAGAAGAUGAGUCAUACUUCGUUCCAAUACAAGUCUUAGAGUCAUACUCCAAGAUUGUAACUUGAGUGACAUGUCUUAAAGAAGGUUUAAAACACUUGUCAAAUGUAAGAGUAAAAGUUUUCUACUCUUGUACAUUUGAAAUUGGUAAGUUGUGAUGUUUUGGAUAAAACAAAGACCAACUAAGGCCAAUUGUGUGAAGUGUUUGUCUUGAUUAGAAUCCACACUAUCUCUUGAAUAUCUGACAAGAGAGUCUUAUAUGUCAAGAGGACAGUGGGAGUCUUAAAGGUCUUGAAAGUCUCAAGAACUAAUCAAGAAUAAAACCUGAAGUUCUUCACUAGCACACGACUUGAGGUUUAUAACCUAUCGUGUUGACUUAUUCUGUGCCCAUUCCAGUUAAAGUUGGCUUUGCAUAUGAGUUCUUAGAGUUCUCAAUUGGUUGCACAACAACUUGGAAGCAAUGGCAGGCCCUUGAGCUGCCAGGUGGCAAGAAAUUAAGAUUGAGUUCAGUCCAUAUGAGUUUGGAUUUGUCAUUAUCCGUGUCUUGUGACUAUGGUUUUGAUAAUUCACAUGGAUACGAACACAUACACCAUUAAAUCUAAGGGUCAUAAGGUUUCUCUCCGAUACAUGAAAAUGAUGGUGAGGAAACACUUCCACCAUGUAGAUUUGAAGUAGAUAGCAAUUGUGAUAUUUGCAUUCUGAAAUUCGUUAGUGGAGCUAUGUGGUUAACCGGCACACUAGAAUGGACUUGUGAGAAGUGGAAAAAUGGUCUAAACAAUUGAGACUAUGAUUACGGCAUCCCUUUUCAUAGUUCUAAAAUUGUUUAGACACACCUGUGAGCUAUCUAAAAGAGGUGUAUGAUUUUGAUAAAGUUUUAUCAAAACAAUCUAGUAUCAGAAAUCUGAACUUUGGUAAGAAAGUCAAUAAAGUAUUGAUUUCUAGAAGUCCAGUUGAUUUCUGAGUACAUGUCAAAGCUAGUGGGAGCAUAAGUGUUAUGCUAAUAAUCAUCAUGUUAAUGGGAGCAUGAUAAUUAUGAUAAAGGUUGC
rnacentral:lncRNA from 1 species